UCCGACUUCAAGUACACUAAUGGUCAUUUCUGAGUAUCCAUAUAAGCUACCUCUUUUAUUUCCAUUUUUUGUCUUCUGUUUUAUUUUCUAGUUUCAUUCUUUGGAUUAUUAGUUUUUUAUUUUUCUUCAUUUUGUUUUCUUCUGCUUUUUCUUUUUCCUUCAAGGUAGAAUGCUAGAUGCUACCUUUUUAGCUUACAACUACCAUAUCCUUGUACGUAUGAGGGUUUUUGGCCUAUUCCACAAGCAUAAACUAUAAUUCUACAUUCUAAAAAAUAUUAUGUCUGUAGUGCAUCUAAAAAUAAGCCUUCUUCAACCACUACUACCACUUUUAUGACAUUUUUUUACUUUUUUGAAGGUGUCAAUUCAACAUUUCAAUGCUAACAUUGUCAGUAUUUUGAUGGUGAUCACAAUAAAAAUCCUAACCCUAGGAUAUUUUAUUAUGAUCAAGGAAUUUUUUUUUUUAUGCCAUGUCAAAUGACACAAUAUUGAGACCUAGUGUAUUUCCUGCAAAUGACAGGGCUUAGAGCUUGGUUUUUGAAAUCCUUAACUCCAGGAAAAGAUGAGAGGAUUGAGACAUUUUCCUAGUCGAAAGAGGUUACGAGAAGCUAAACAAGCCAACAUCCUACGCCUUUAUCAGAGGGCAAAAAUGGUAUAAUGAUCUUUUUAUCUUUUUUCAUUUUGCUUCUAUUAUUGUUAUCUUAGUUACCCUUUUUAGGUUUUCUUUUUUAUUUUGUAAACCCUAGGGGUUAGCAAAAAAGCAAAAAACUUACUUAACUAGUGAUCGAUUAAGAGGGUAUGUUGAGUGAUUAGUUUUAGUACAUCAUCAUACUAUUUAGUGCUUAAGUCAAGGCUUAUUGACCACUUGUACUUUGACCAUUUACGACUUUCUUUCUUUAAGCUCUAAGAAGUUUGUUUCUCACUUCCAUAAUGGGGUGUUGAUCUCUAACCUAUUAGAGGCUCUUUGGGUAUGAUGCAAUCUCCACCUCGAAAGAGGAAAGUUGAAACAAAGCAAGCUCUAGAGCCAAAUAAGGAACCUUUCACUCAAACUUAAGAAUGAGUUCUCCUAAAUGGACUAUUCUUAGGAUGGAUAAGGCAUUUUUCUACUAUAUUUCCAUUUUUCCUAAAGGCAUCAUCCCAAAUGGCUCCCAAGAAAACUCUUUAUCUUUUUUUUUUUCUUUUUUUUUUCUCUCUCUCUCUCUUUGCCCCUCCACCCACCCCCCCUCCUUAGCUCCUCUCUAGUGAUCAUUCUCGACAUUAAGGAAUAUCUUAUUUUGGAAAACUAUGUGUUACCUCUUAGGAAUUUUCACUCAAGUGGGAGGGAAACUUCAACCUAUUCUAAGGUUAGGAAAAAAAAACCUUUGUCUACCCUAAUAAGACUUGAAUUAUAUAAGGAAAAGAUUUCCCUUUGUCGCUUAGGCCCUCUAGAUAUCAUUCUAAAGAUAGAAACAAUCAUAUCAAUGUUAUUUAUGAUGUUGAGGAGCAAUAUUUGGUGAUUGGGUCAACCAACUUAAAAAUAAAGGUUAGUGAUCCAACUAUUGGGAAACCUUAGAUUACUAUAUUCCCAAGUCCUAGAUCAUUAAGGUACAUGUAAUCCUAUCUUAGAUUUUUAUAUCUAAGCACAAUGGGAAACUUUAGUAUUUAAAAACCAAAACCAAAGCAAAGAUCUCAAAAAGUUAUCAUACUUGCAAUUUGAAUGUUCCUAGAUUGAUUCAAAUCGGUGUACAAUGCUCCAUAGGUAUAGAAGAUCUUGUAACUCAAUGGUCAUCCACCCGAUGACUCAUUUUUGAGUCAAUGCACUAAGAUGGUGGAGAUCUCAAGUUUGGUAACUAUGGUUCUCUCUCUAGACUACAAGAAAAGAAUGGCAAGACUUGAAACCUUAACCCUUAAAAGAGUAAUUAUAGGCUUCUUACUAAGCUUAAAUUACUUGAGUCCACCAUGAGUUUGGGUCACUUAGUCUAACCCAAAAAAAUUGCUAAUUGAUUAAUUAACUUAAUAAGAUUCCAAUUAAUCAAUUAGCCUAAUCCAAAGAUAUCGUUCACUUUUCUUUGUUCAACCUUAUGAAAUUACCAAAACGAUUUUAUGCACAUAAAUGAACUAAAAACUUAUCCAAUCCUUGUAAACCAUGUCAUCAAGGAAUAUAAAAUCAAACAGGGACCAUUAGGACCCAUAAGAUAAUACUAGCUCACUCAACAUCCCAUUCUAAAGUUGACUCAACAUUCCACUAUAGAGAGUCAACCACAAUCCAAUACCCUAUGUAUAUUACAAUAAGACACCAAGUGUUUUGGUCCAUAACCCGUUAUCCAUAGUAUAUAGUCUUCUCAUGAAUUGGUCGUCUAUUGUCUAAUAAGGUGAAAGUUAUCAACAUUCCAAAGAUAUCGUUCACUUUUCUUUGUUCAACCUUAUGAAAUUACCAAAACGAUUUUAUGCACAUAAAUGAACUAAAAACUCAUCCAAUCCUUGUAAACCAUGUCAUCAAGGAAUAUAAAAUCAAACAGGGACCAUUAGGACCCAUAAGAUAAAACUAGCUCACUCAACAUCCAAUUCUAAAGUUGACUCAACAUUCCACUAUAGAGAGUCAACCACAAUCCAAUACCCUAUGUAUAUUACAAUAAGACACCAAGUGUUUUGGUCCAUAACCCGUUAUCCAUAGUAUAUAGUCUUCUCAUGAACUGGUCGUCUAUUGUCUAAUAAGGUGAAAGUUAUCAACAUAUCAAAACUACCUUUACACCUUGAGUUAUAAAUCAACUUAUUAUGUGAUCAAAUAACAUACUCUAUCUCACUAAGAGCAUAUGACAAAUUCCACUAGAGGAAUUACUAUGGGCCCAUAGAUUUCAUGAUCACACCUUAGGAUCACCCAAAGGACACAUUGUCUUAAAGUCCAUGGGAUAUCAUGGUGUUUCUAUUGAGAAUAUAUGUUGCUACCAGUUUCCAUUAAUAAUGACCCAAUCAAGAGGGAAUAUAUGAUCACUUUAGGAUCUCUCUCAUAAAUCAAAGUCACCGUUAACUUCUACACAAGCUCAAUAUUCUCUCAAGAUGGAGAGACUAUAUAGUGUAGCAACUUCGUGAAGUCAUGAUUAUCCAAUAGUCUUAUGUCAUGACUUAUUGUAAGUCAUGCCCAAUGUGUUACCGCACAAACUAGUGCACUCACCAUGAGAACCCCAUCCCGAUGCCCAAGACCAGUCAUCCAUCCAAUUAGGAAGUGGUGUACCAUAACCUCAAAUGGAUUACCUAAGUCUGUGAACCGAUUGUGAAUAAAUCAUCUACUUGCAAGGAUUUCAUGACUUAGAUCUUCUGUGCAACUCCUAAUAUAACCAAGUCAUGUAUAAUGCAAGAGAUAUUAGGUCAGAAUGCUUAUAAAGUAUAACACAUGAAAUAAAAAUCGAUAAAAGUGAACCCAGAUAUCAUAAAAUGAAUAAUGAAUUUCAAAUCUAUUACAUUAAAUAUGUCAUACUUUUAAGGGUUCUAUCUUAACACCAAACCCACUCCCAAUAGUUUAUCGAACCUAUUUCUACCAUCAGUCUUAUGUAGAGGAUUACACUCAAGGUGCACGCCCCCUAAGAUUAGGUUUCAAAAGAAAUAAAGUUAUUUAUUUAUUUAUUUAUUUUGGUCAUUUAAGCUACUAAGUAUUUACUAGAAAAAAAGCAAACACUAGAGGUGUUUUCCCUUAUUGUCUACAUUUCCUACUGAUUCACCAUUAGAAUAACUUACAAUAAUUAGGGAUAUAUCAAAAAGAUAUCAUAGACCAUAAUUUAUAGUAUCACUCAUAUAACAAGUAAUUCUUUUCAAUAUAGUGAGGUGAGAUUCUUUAGGACCACUUCUAAAAUGUGUACAAGCCCCUACACUAAAUGAGAUAUCAUUUAAUGCAUAGAGAUAAUUGAAUCUAAGGAUAGAGACUUACAUUUCUACCAACAUGGAUGCAUUUUUUCAUGAAAUCUUCAUUUGGGUAGCAGUCUUCCUCUAGAUAACAAUGGCUUUAGCCACUCAUGAUCGAAUCACACAUCCAAAACAAUAAAGAAAAACCUAUAUAAACCUAUAUUGAAUUGAAUUGAACUAUGAAAACAGUAAAUGAAUGGGUCUACCUAUCUAUAUCAUGAACAUAAAAAUGUAUGUGAGCGUAAACCCUAACUCCAAUCAUAACAAGCCACAUCUUCCUUCUUAAAAGUCCUAAAAAUGCAAACAAGUGAUUCUAACAAGAUUUUUUGUGAUCUAAAAUUGAAAUUAGUGGUGUGCGCAAGGCUGGACAUGUUGUGCAUAUGCAUAAUGUAUUAGGAUAAAGCCCUUAAAAGCAUGACAUGAUGUACUAAACUUUUAGAUUUUAUUAUUUAUUAACAAAGUUCCAAUUCACUUUUAUUUAUCCUUAUUUCAUGCAUUAUACCUUAUAAACAUUUUGACUUAUAUCUUUUGCAUUAUACAUGACUUAGGUACAUUAGGAGUUACAUAGAAAAUCCAAGUCAUGAGUCCCUUGCAAGUAGAUGACUUGUUUACAGCCAGUUCAUAAGCCUAGGUAACCCAUUGAAGGUUUUAGUGCACUACCUCUUAAUUAGAAGGAUGGCUAGUUUUGGCAAUCGGGAUGGAUUUUCCAUGAUAAGUGCACUAGUGUGUAUGGUGACAUAUUGGACAAGACCUAUGAUGAGUCAUGACAUAAGACUAUCAAGUUGUCAUGGCUUCACAAAUCCAUUUCAUUGUGUUAUCUCUCAAUCUUGAGAGAAUGUUGAGCAUGUGCCCAGGUUAGUAGUGGUUUUGACCUACGAGUGAAAUUAUAAGUUGAUCAUAUAUUCCUUAUAGACUUAGUCAUUUUUUAUGAAAGCCAAUAGCAAUAGGUAUUCUAAAUAAAAACACCAUGAUAGCUCAUAGAAUUGAAACAAAGUAUCAUUUAUGUGAUCCCAAGGAGGUGUGCUAAUGUAAACUAUGGUCAUAACAGUUCCUUAAGUGAAACUUGACAUAAGUUCUUAAAGAGCUAAGAUAUGUCCAAUUAAAUACACAAUAAGAGGAUAUAUAACUCAAGGAUAUUAGAGGAUUGAGACCAAUAGCUUUCACCUUAUUAGACUAUAGACACCAGUUCAUAGGAGACUAAAUGCAAUGGAUAAUAGGUUACAGACCUAAGCAUUUAGUGUCUCAUUGUCAUUUAUAUAAGGUAUUGAAGUGUAGUUGAUUAUCUAUAGUGAGAUGUUGAAUCAACUUCAUAACUGAAUUCUGAGAGAGCUAGUGUUGUCUUAUGAGCCCCAACAAUCCAUGUUCAAGCUUAUAUACCUUGAUGACAUGAUUUAUGAGGGUUGGAUUAGUCAUUGGUUCACUCUUAUGCAUAAGGACGUUUUGGUAAUUACACAAGGUUAGUAAACAAAGUUUCUGGAUUAGGAUAAUUGAUUAAUUAAAUGAACCUAUUAGGUUAAUUUAUCAAUUAAGACCAUUUUGGGCUAGAUUAAAUGACCUAAGCCCUUGUGAGCUCAAGUCAGUUAAGCUCAAUUAGGGAACCCUAUAAAUAUCCCCUUAGAGAUUAGGGUUUUCAAGUUAGUCAUCUUUCACCAUCCAGAGAGUAAAAAGAGACUCAUAAGCCUUUUCCAUCUCAAAAUUCCAUGGUUUGUGUGCCAAGAGCAAAGUUUGAAUCAUCGCAACAAAAGAUCGUAGGUCUACAAGACUUUUGAAGCAUUCAUUUUGAUUCUACAUCGAAAGAAAUAGAUUUAAGAAUGUCCAAAUUUAAGGUAUUAUAUUCUAUAACACUUGAUCUAAAUUUGUAUUGUUAAAAUUGUAUAUUCUCAUUAUGCUUAGGAUUUAGAGAAAGCUUAGGAAAGUUCUUGCAUAUACCUAACCUAAUCCAGGUAUAGGAAAUGAAGUGUUAUAGGAUUCCCUACAUGGUGAUGCACAUAAUCUCUCUAGUUAUGGUUUGAUAUGGAUUCUAAUUAUGCUUAGUAGUCUACACACAAUGUAGUGUGUGUGUCUAUGUGAGUGAGUGUGUGUGUGUGUGUAAAAGGGGUUGUGAGUAUGUAAGGUUGUGUGCACAUUUGGUCCACUUAGAACUUCUACUUCUAAGUAGUCUACACACACUUAGGCUCAUGUUGGUUGUUUUUUCACUUAGAUUGCAAUUUGUGUAUGCACAAUGUCUUUGUUCACUAUAUUUUGCAUACACUUAGUGUUUUUCACAACUUCUUUAUGGGCACACACUUUAUAGUGCAUGGUUUACUCACUCAAUCUUUUACACACACCUGAUGCUUACACAUAGUCUUCUUUCUUGAUGAUUUGUGUACACAAACUAUCUUCUUUAUAUGCAAAUUUGUUUAUAUGUUGAUUUUCCAUUCUUUUCCUUCUCUAUCACUUGCAUUCAAGCUCCAAACCUUUCCCACACACUUCUCUUGUUGUUGCCUCUAUUAGCCUUGAACUCCUUACAUAUGCUUUAAUACACUAGCUUUCACCCCUUUUGAUGCAUUUUACAUGAAAUUCACACCUUAGUUCUUGAAAUAGGACUUAACAUAUAUUUGAGUUAAUGAUUAAUACUCAAGAGCAAAAUCCUUGUUUUUUUCAUGUAGGAAUAUCAUUUCCUAGUAUUAAACAACUACAAUAAGCUUAAGGCAACCAAGUAAACAAAUAAAGCCUCUAUCCUAAACAUGAUUUGCACUUGUGUCACCAAAAACUAUAUUACCACCAUUGAACUCCUUAAAGGUAGUAAAAAAUGACUUAUUACUAGUCAUGUGCCUAAAGCAACCACUAUCAAAAUACUAAUCACUAGGUGGUUUGUGUCAAUUUUUGUGAAAGCCACAAUACACAUUUAAUGUCACUUUUCCUAACCUAGACUUGCCUAACUUUAGGAAGUGUGCCUAUAUGACUUUUUUUCCCCUAAAGUGUGAGACACAUCCCUAUUCUAAGUAUUCAAAGUCUAAUUUCUAAAAUAAUUAGACUCACUUAUUAUCCUAUUAAUAUGAAACUAGAAAUCUCGUUACAGCUAUAAUGUACACUUACUUUGACGGUGUCUUAGUUUAUUACAAAAAUAAAAUAAAAAAUCAUAUAAGGGUUUAUGUAGAAGUUCUCUAGACUACAUUUAUCUCCAUAAGUUUUCCUUUUUAGAAUUAUUUCAUUUAAAAUUUUAGAGCUAGGAUGAAAUACUUCGUUUUAACUUUCUAAAUUCUGUUUAAGUUGAUCUAGUUCAAAAGAAAAGGAUUUAUUCACAAAAUGAUAUUCAAGUUCAAGAAAGUUAAAUUUCUCAAGCAUGUUUUUAUUUUCAUUAUUAAGUUCCUUGAUCUCAUUAGUCAAAUCAAUUUGUUUAGAUUCAAUUGAAUUCAAUUUAUCAUUCAAAUCAUUCUUUUUCAGAUUCAAGUGACUUUGAUCUUAUUAACCAAAUCAUUUUUUUUAGAUUCAAGUGCACUCAAUUUAUCAUUCUUUUUUAAUUUAAGUGACUCAAUAUAAGAAUUCUUUUUGUUAAUAAUCUUUUUAAUUAAGUUUAAGAUUCUCACAUUCUAUUUCAUAACUUUCUUAAUAGAAGGUAUGUUAUGCAUCUUGUAAAUCUUCAAACUCCCUUUCUUCUUCACCAUUGUACUCAAAUGCAAUCAACGAUACAACAAAUGCAAUAAAAUUAGGGUUAUCAUUAAUUUCAUUAAAAUAAUAUAAUUCAUACUCAUUGGACUCAAAAUCACUCUAAGUAACUUGCAUAACCUUUUCUUUUUUUCUUUUUAGGGCUAAGGCAAUCAAAAGUAAAGUGCUCUUUCCUACCAUAAUUAAAGUAUUCAACUUGAUUUAAUUUAGACAAGUCUUUGCUUUAGGUUCAUUCUUAAGUCCAUUCCUUUUACCUUUCUUUUGCAUCUUCUUUAUUGUUUUUCUUUUUCUAGAGUUCCAUAUAAGCCUUAAAUUUAAACAUAGAGAUUUUAGAUUAAGUAAGAAUUGUUUCAUUCUCAUAUUAAACUCAACUUUUUCUUUUGAAUAUGUCUUUAAAGUUGACCUUUUAGAUCUCUUUGAUGAGAGGAGAGUCAUCCCAUAGGUUUGUAGGUAACCUACUAACCCACCCACUAUCAAUGCAUCCACAUUCUUACUUUUUUCAAUAAUAGCUACUUUAGGAGUAAUCUCUUAAGAAAAUAUCUCAAAUCUUUCCUAGCUACCUUUGCAUAUGAAAUUUUCUCAACCAAGUUAAAAUAAAAAUAAAAACCUCAUCUUCAUUCAUUCUAAUACUUUCAAAUUAGGUAGUUAACAUUUGCAAUUUGGAUAACUUCACAAUAGAAGUGUCCUCAUGAGUUAAAUCUAAUCUAUCCAAAAGUUAUUAAGAGUAUUUACAUGCUAUUAUAUAUCCUUCUAAAGUCAUCAAGACUAAUACCAUUGAAAAUACAGUAAAGAGUCUUGGCAUUAACUUUGUUGCCUCCAUUAUCAAACCUAUCUCAUUCUUACUUAGGCUUUGUUCCACUAAUUGAACUUCUAUUCUUGUUCAUAGGUAUAUACAAGAAGUAGCCACCUAUAUUCUACUAUGUUCAAAACAUGCUCUUCUUACAUUUUUAGAAAAUAUAUAUAUAGAUUUUCUAAUGGAAGUAGUUAUUCCCAUUAAAAAUAAAAUAUGAUAAGGGUUUUACACCAGUCAACACCUAUACUAUUCUUUCAUAUUCUUGAAGUAGUACCUCAUGCUCCUUAGUGGAUCACCCUAACUACAUUGCGACUAGUAAAUCAAUUCACCUUGCCUAUGUUUGGAUUGAGCUCAUAAAAGCAAGACUUGAAAUAACAAAGUUAGAGUUUAUUGUCCCCUUGUUAUCCCCUUUUAUACAUUGACAUUGAUUUGAGCAUUCUGCUCAUAUCACUUGCAUUGUACAUAACUUAGGAACAUUAAAAUUUUCAUAGAAGAUACAAGUCAUUAUUUCCUUGCAAGAUGAUAAAUUGUUCACAAUCAAUUCAUGGAUUUUGGUAAUCCAGUAGAGACUGUAGUACACUACCUCCUAAUUAGAGAGGUGGCUUACAAUGAAUCAUGACGUAAGGCUAUUAGAUUGUCAUGAUUCACUAAGCUACUAUGUUGCAUGGACUUUUAACCUUGAGAAUAUAUUGAGUCUAUGUUGAAAUCAACAUGAGGUUUUGACUUAUGGAUGAGACCCUAAUGUGGUCAUAUAUCCGUAUGGAUCAAGUUUUUGUUAAUUAAGGUUAGUGGCAAUAGGUAUUCUCAAUAGAGGCACCAUGAUGUCUUAUGAAAUUGAGAUAGUGUAUCCCCUUGGGUGAUCCAAAGGAUAUGUGAUAAUGAAAUCUAUGGACAUAUGCUCCUUAGAGCUAAAGUAUGCCAAUUGAUCAUAUAAUGGGUGGAUAUAUAACUCAAAGAUUGAUAAGAUAAUCUUGAUGGGUUGAUAUCACUACCCUAUUAGAUUAUGGAUAUUGAUUCAUGAAGAAUUUGCAUGUAAUAAAUAAUGAGGCACGAGCUUUGUCUCAUUAUGAUUUCAUAAGAUAUUAAAGUGCAUUUGACUCUCUUUAGUGGAGUGUUAAGUUAACUUCAAAAUUAGAUUUAGAGAGAGUCAGUAUUUUCCUAUGAAUCCUGAUGGUUCCCACUUGAGCUCCUAGUUCAUGGUGGCAUACUUUUUUAGGGUAUGUUGGGUAUGUGAUUCAUAAGUGUGCAUAAGAGUGUUUUGGUAAAAACGCAAGGUUCCACUAAAUCUUAUGAAUUAACUUUCUGGAAUAGGUUAAUUAAUUAAUUAAUUAAUCAAAGCUCAUCAGGUUUAAUUAAUUAAUUAGGACCCAAGUGGGUUGGAUUAGGUGACCCAAGCCCAAUUAGGGCUCAAGUCACUUAAGUCCACAAGGAAACCUAUAUAAACCUCCAUUAGGUUUAAAAUUUACUUCAUUCUUCCUGUUUGAUUUUUUGAAAUUCCAAAAAGAGAAACCCUAGCCUCCCUUAAAAAGAAAGAGAGAAGUUCACCAUUCUCUCAUGCCAAAAACCAUGAAGGGAAAGACCAAGUGAAAAAUUGUUGGUAGACAAGUUCUACAAUGACCACCAUGGUUUUAGAAUCUUCAUCGGAUGGACAUUAAUAUGGGAACAUCCAAAUCGCAGGUAUGAAAUUUCUAAUCUCUAGUUCUUUAUUUUAUAAUGGUUUUUGAAGCCAUAGUACUCUACUAUGAUAGAUCUAAGGAAGCCUAGGAUAGAAUACAGGCACCCCACAUGAUUCAAGACUAGGAAAUGGAGAAAUGCAGGUUUCCCAAUAGCCUUUCUAAGAAAGAUGAUCAACCAAGAAUAAGAGAUAACCUCGAUGAUCACCAUUCUAUUGAGCACAAAGAUGAGAGCUAGAUAUAGAGGGACAAGUGGGAAAGGCAACAAGAAAGGGAAGAAUGGCAUAGGCUUCGACAAUCCCAUGAAGAAAAUCUAUCAAAGAGAGAAAGAGAAGAAAGAAGAGGAGUAAUAAAGAGUGGACAAGAUACAAAAGACAAAAGGCUUGGAUCACCCAUGAUAGAGAAAAGGGUGCUUAUAAAAUACCAUAUAGCAAAAGAAAAAGAUUGAGAAAAUAUGGCAUUAUAUUCUCAUUAAUGAUUGAUAACUAUUUUAUAUACAAAAUAACAUUUGAGGAGGAUAAACUUUGACUAACUAAAAUUAGAAGAACAAGUUUAUCUUUUCCUCUCAAACUCUAUCUUCUACUCUAAUUCCAAUUAAUAAUAAUAAUUAUCUUUUAUUCUAAGUUAAAUUAAUAAUAGAUUAAUACUAAUAUUUAAAUUAAGAAUAAACAUUAACUUUCGCUAACAAGCAGUAAUUGUAGUAAUCAUGGAAUCCUUCGAAAUCCUAUCUACCAAAUUACGCCUCUCCAACAUCUCACUACAUAAUGAGCCCAUCACAAGCCUAGAGUUGAAUCAUUUUGACGAAGUUCAUUCACCAUUCAUGAUAUCCUCUUAUAACUUUCUUUUUUCCCUCUCUUUUUAACCCAAAACAAAAGCAUUUGCCAACGUAAAUGCAUCAUCAGGAUAUGAAUUGUAUAUUGGAGAAAAAACUGAUUGCAUUUAAUCUUUAUUUCCCAUUACCAAUGCUUAAAGAAAAUGCAAGCUUCAAAUCACUUCAUUAUUCCAUGAAAGACUUAAUGGCCCUUUUGGUGUAGUUAUAACUUCAACCAUUGGCCUCUCCUGGUGGGUCUGGCAUGUCUCAGGACACAUGGCAUUCUCAUAGGCUGCUUCCCGUCUGACUGCAUGAAUGUCACUUGCGCCUAGGCCAAAACUAAAUUGCUUCUGAUUUGGCCGCUUGGUUUUUCAAGUCGAGGGAACUCUAUUGCUUAUGCCUCAUGGUGUUGAUGGCCUGGCUCUUACCCUCCAGCUGCUAAGGCUCUGGCAGUCAGCUCAUUCUCCAUAUGUUGCUAUUCUCUCUGCCAUAUCUGCUUUGAGAAUUGGGCCAUGUGUGGUCCAAACAUCAGGAAAAUAAUAAGGAAGGUGAGGCCAAAAAUACUGCAGUGCUAUUCUCUACAAACAACUGCAACUCAGGAAUGCAGAGACACCAACAGUCAGUCUUACUGAGCCCAUCAAACGAGCCUAUAGAUGCUAUUCAUUUCAAAAAAAAUUGAUCAUUAUUACAACCCUGUUUUAAGAACCAUCAUUUGGACGAGAUCCAUUCCCAGGUUAUAUGACACUCCCUAACUAGAAACCAUAACCCUUGGCUCUGAUACUAAUUUCCGGAUCGAGCUUUAAUCACCUUAUCUAAAAACCAAUUAGUGUUCGAUGAAAGUAAACCAAACCUUUAUAACAUUCAACAUCACACCAUGCACCCAUCCCUGAACUUAAGAGCUGUAUUAUUGCACCCCAACAAUCACCAUUCAUGGCACCCUCACAAUUUUCUUUGUGGACAGAAAACCAGGGAUUUCCCAUGUAGUUUUGGACUAUUCAUUUUGCAUUACCAUUGGGUUAACAACUAUAGAAAUUCCACAAACUAAUAGCAUACUGAUAACAAGGCCAGUGGGUGUCUGAUUUUCAUUGAAUCAAAUUAGGCUGUAGUAUAUAACAGAUUCUUUACUCCUCCCCUCCUAAUGCAACUCUUGGGCUGCAUUUACACAACCAAGUUGAUUCCUAGGUUAUCAAGCUUUUGCAUGGAAAGUGACUGUAAUUGAAUCUUUCCAUGUAAAACACUGCGCUUGUUGAAUUAAAGAUAUAAUAUUACAAUGAGGUAGAGAUGUUAUUCCCCCCCACAAUAGUACCUCUAUAGUAAAGUUUUCUGACCCCUUCCUUCUCUUCAGUGUUAACACAAAGUCUAUACAUAUAAGUACAUAUAUUAUCAUAAUCAACUUCUUCCAAUUCUCAAUGAAGAAUCGACGCCUUUCCCACUGCCUGCAAAGAGCCUAGCAAUCUCCAACUGAGUGUUGGCAAUGAUCUCAGUGCGCUUGAGAUCCAUCUCACCUCUCUUGGCAUCAGCUUCCACUCUCAUCCUCUCCAGCUCUCUCAUGGUGUCCAUCCUUGCUUGCUCUGACCUUACAACUACUUCUGCUAGCCACCUAAUGCUCUCAGCCACCUCCCAAUCUUCCCUUCUUCGCCUCUUCUUCUUCUCUAUUCUCAUCUUUAUUUUCUUGGACUUCAAUUUCUCCUUGUCGCUGUAGAGGGCCGGUGUGCUACUAUCCGUCUCCAUGGCAACCUUAUCUGAUGCAUGAUCAGACAAUUUUGUUCCCACUCCAUCUUCCUGUUAAAAUCAAAGGGUAUAGCACCAAGUUUUUAUGAUUUUUACAUAUGGGUAACUAAUUUUACAAUAUGAUUUUGAGAAACAUUAUACUAGCUAUCUAGAUUGACUUCAAGUGGACCCAAAGUGAUUUCUCAAGUGACAUUUUAGAUGCCUUGGGGAAGACAAAGGAGAAAUUUAGGGUGUAAUUCAACCAAGGACUUCGAUUUUUUUUCCUUCUUUUAGAAUUUUCUUCUGGGAAUUGAACAUUAAGAAUAUGGAUUAGAAAAGUAUAAUCUCAUAAUGUAGAAGGCAUACUACAGACUAUCCUUCAUUGAAUUGGUUUGGAAACAAGCCUUUGGAAAAUGUACUUGUAAGAAAUUCAAAGGAACAAUUUUAUCCACUUGUGAAUAUUGCUAAUAUAUAUAUAUAUAUAUAUAUAUAUACAUGUAUGAAGUUCAUGCGUAAUUGAUAGAGAAAAGGAGAUUUCUCACUGACCUUGGCAGCCCGAUGAAGGCCGUUGGACUCAUGGGAGUUUUGGGUGAUCAUAAGAGUAUGAGGAGGCUGAGACGGCGGAGGGGGUGGCUGAGGCGGCAAUGUUUCAAGCAACAUCAAAGGAGUGGUUACUGGAGGUGGGAUAGGAGGGGCGCCACUUCCCCGGAGCAAGAGAUCAAGGCGCUGAAACAAAGGCCAUGAGGAGGCAUCUGGAGUGGCAGACUCAGACCGGUACCGUUUCUUCAUGGACUCGAUCUUAUUCUUGCACUGAGUUUGAGUCUUGGGGGAUUUAGUACAAUUGGCCCGAGAUGAAACAUGGCGUGCAACCUCUUCCCAGUCAUGGCCCUUGAGCUUGGCGCGAUUUCUGAGCACCCAUUUGGUCUCAUAGGCCUCAAGAAGGCUAGAAACCGCACCUUCGCUCCAUUCAUCUCUUUUCAAUCUAUCAGCGCCACCAGCACCGCCACCACCACCACCACUACUACCACCACCAAGUGGCUUUCUAGGAGAGUCCUCCUUGGAGUUAUUGGUAGGAAGUAGAGGUGGAUCUUCUUGGUUAGGCUCUCUAUCCAUGUCUUCCCAUUCUAAACUUUUUACAUGAGUUUUAGCUGCUAACAUGUAUCAAAAAAACCAAAAUAAAAAAAAAAAAAUACAAAAGGAAAAAAAAAGAAAAAAUGAAAAAAAAAGAAAGGCAGAAAGCAAUAAUGGGGAAAGGGGGAGGAGGGGUAGUGAGGAGUGAGUGGGAAAGCAAAGGGUGGGGGGAGGAGACCACUAGCAUUAGUGAAAUGGGAGGGUGUUUGUCAAAAGAGUUAAUGAUAGAAAUGAAACUUUUGUUAAUUUUGGUGGUGUUAUCUUUUUGUGGUUAUGUUGGUAAUGGUGGUGCGGUUGGGUCUUAUUUUGGCUGUUAGCGUUGAUAUGAAGCCAACCAAGACAUCCACCACUCACUCACGGUGGUGGUCAGUCACGUGAACCUGUCACCCACCACCAUCCCAUCACCACCACCACCACCACCAUCACCACCACCACCAUCUCCACCACCGCCACUCGCCACUCACCACUCACCACUCACCACUCAACACCACCCAAUAGGCUACCGUCACUCACUCCUUAUAUACAGCUCUUCUCCCUUUUUGCUUUGCCCUUUAUUUUUUUUGGUGCCCUUUUGAAGACUUUGGUGGAUUCAUCACCACUGGGGUAACUAAAGCCUACUUCCCCCUACAUCUUCCUUUCUAAUUAUCUCUUCAUCAUGGGGUCUGAGUCACCAAUCAGAUGCUGCCACAUCCCUCAUUUCUGUUGAAGAAUCCGGCAUUUUGACUCCCCUUUCUCCUUUUCCUCUCAAAAUUGGGCAUCUUUGGCUUGAGAAGUUCUUUCAACCUAUUUGAAAACCCCCCUUCCUUUCCCUAAAAUGUUCCAAAUUUGAAUGCUAUACUCCUUUCCCACCCUAACAUUUGUUACAUAUUCCAGGAAAAGGUCUUGGAAUAUUUCUUCUUUAUCUUUAAUAAUAGAGUACAAGUUUUCUACACAGAAAAAUUUCUGUAUAAAAACUUUUUCAGAAAAUUUUGACUGUGAACUAACUGCUACAAAUUUGUCAGCAGAAACCAAAAACCAAACAGAAGGGAUUAAAGGAAAGAAAAAAGGGGGGGAGGGGGGUGGAAAUGGGCAUUAAAGAGAAAGUGGGAGGUGGGGAGGUGGAAAAAGUGAUGGGUGAGAUGGGCCAAGUAUUUGAAAGGUAGUUGAAAGGAAGUUGAAAAAAGAAAAAGGUGUCAGGCAUUUUAUUGGGUAUAGGAAUAGAGUAACAGUAGUAUAGGAAUAUAGGGGCAUUCAUUGAUAGUACUCUUUUAAUAUUUGGCUCUAUCAUAUAUAGCAACAAUGUUGUCAAAGUUAUUAUUAUGAUUGCAUCAAUUGAUGGCAUUGAUUGGAGCAUCCUCACAUAAAAUCACUCCCCCUCCCCAUAAUUCUCUCCUUUCCCCCUUUUUCCUUGAUCCUUAAUAUUCAUAAGUUCACAUCAUAUUAUUGGGUGACAGCUGAGAGGAUGCCAUUUCCUUCAAGGCUACCCCACCCUUUUUUACUAUCAUUUGGGUCAUACAUAAUACUCAUCAUUUAUAAUGUAUUAAUAUCUUAUUAUAAUUUAUUGCAUUUGAGGGAAUAUGAUUUACACAGCAGGGUCAUUAUCUGACCUCAAAGUUACGAUCAAAUGAAAUGAAAUUCAAGUUUUUGACAGUUGGUUUAUAUCUUGAUUGUGUAGACAAUUGAGUUGUUGAGACUUGAGAGGAGGAAGUGGAGGGGGUCGCUUUUUGGGUGGUUUGAAGUAAUUGGGAUUUGGUUUAAAAGGAAGUUGGUGGAUUAUACCUACCUCAACCUGGAUUUUGAUGGGGAUUUAGUGGAGAAACCACCCUCCUCCUCUCUUGCUUUUUGGCUUCACUUUUAUUACUAUUAUUUUUUGUUUAGGAGCUAGUACCUUUCCCUUUCUCCUAGGGGUCAACUUCUACCUUUUUAUUACAAACCCAACAAGGAAAGCAAACUAUGGUCUUAGAAUUCCAUAAAAAGUUUGAAAAAUUUUGGGUUCAGACUGGUACCUCAUCCAGAUAGAAUCCCCAUCUUUAAUUCACAAAAUUCUCCUGCAAAAACCCAGGAAAAAUUAGGCCAUUUCAACAUUUUAUUCCUCUUAAUUGUUCUAAAAAAUUUCUGAAAAACAAUAGUAAGGGUAUUGAGUGGCAGUUUGAAUAAAUGAAGCCAAUAAAAAAUCCAAAUGAAUUUCAAACUUUAGAAAAGACAGAAACCAAAAGUUCAAUAAUGCUCUACCACGCCAUACCAAUCCCAGCCAAGAAAAGGAAGGCCCCUGGAAAGACAUGGGUUAAACAUUCAGACAACAGUAAACAAGCAAUUAAUCAGAAUUUUUGGGGUUUUUCUAAAAAUACUGUGCCUGCCACCAGAUUUAGACCACCCAAGAUGACCUUCAGUGAAUGGAAUAAGACGUGUUCUCAUGGGUAAGUGACUCAAAAAGACAGUUCAUGCAUAGUGAUUUUAUGUGGGUUGAGUUAUGGUCCGUCCGAUUCAAGGUUAAUCUAUUUGCAACCAAGGCGUAUGCCUUCACCAAAAGAAUAUAGAGAUUACUUUUUGGACUCGAUCUAAAGGACACGCGUUAAUGACUAGGAAUUGAAAAUGACAUUGUAAGAGAAUAUAGAUCGCAUGUUGCGCCUUGUAAUCUACCGUUAGCUCCCCAAAUUUCCACCGUGAGUAAAGAGAAUAAGAGAUGCAUGAACGGAGCAGUGCAGUGGGGUAAAAGCCUAGCGUGAAUGGCGCUACCCGUGCAGAGAGGGAGCAUCUUGUGCACUCUGCAUCAUAGAAAAGUUGGUCCUUGUGAUGGUUUUUCUCCAAGGCAAACAGUGACACGGCCAAAUUUGCUGUAAGUUCAUCUCUACAAGUAUUUUCUAGACCAUAUAAAUGCUAGCGUCAACUAUAAGAGAACUAACUGCCAGCCAUGCUUUUAAGGCAAUACAUAGACAGGUCAUAAUUUUCCUGAAUUACAAUUCAACAGCUUUCAAUAUGAAAGUGAGAGCACUAGCUUUCAAACAAGGAUCCAACAUGAAUCAUCAUUUUGCCACUUCUGCAUCAUGCAUAGCAAGUGCCCAUUCCUCAAGUAUGUAAAUAGUGAACAAACCUCAGUAGUAUAGAGCAUAUAGUCCUAGAACAACUAAUCUUAGGACAACAGGUUGAGGGAGGUUUAGUCCUUGUUCAAGCAUGCACCCUUUAAUCACCUACAACAAUUUGAUUUCCUCAUUAAUUCAGCAGAAUUCAGGAAAAUCAAGCAAACAAAAGCAAAAUCCUAAUGGUGAAACCCAAAACUCAUAAAAACUUGAAAUUGAAGUUUAACAUGAACAUAACCCUACUCCCAAGUCCCAACCACAAGUUGAUUUUACACCAAAAUUAUCAUACAUAUCCAGCCUUUUGUACCAUGAACUUCAUUUGAUUCCUGCAUAUACCAUUAUCAUUUGUGAGUUUCUGAAAUUCAAUUUACACUUUCACUAUCCAGAUUUCCCAAGUAAUCUGACUACUUAGCGACCAUACUUGAUCCUCAGAAGCCAACACUUUAUUCCUUCUUCAUAGAUCCAAGCUGACGCCGACCGAAUAUGUUCAUCAUCAAUUUAACCAUGACCCCAAACUCCAUCAUCAUCAUCAACUUUCACAAGCAUCUAGCAUUUUAGGCUCAAAAUAACAUAACGCAAAGACCUCCAUUUCUCACGCCAGGUACAGGAAAUACACCACCCUCCACAAGUUAACCAUAUCUCAACUAGGUGGGAAUGGCCCAUGUGCCCGUCUCAUUCGACAAGUAGAAAGAUCAACCAAUUUCCUUCAUGCUUAAUAGUCAAGAAAACAUGCCUUCUACAGACAAUGAGAGAAUGGGGUCAAACAUCGAAUUAUUUUUUGUAAUCGAUCCAGCUACUAUUUACUGAUAUGAAGAUACGUAUCCCAACAUAACACUAACCCUGACCAAGCAAAACCUCCACUUUAAAAUUCUUCUAGGAAACAUGUACUAGUGAAUACAGAUGAACCACUCACUGUGUGGACUUCUUUUUCUAAUCCAAUAGGGUGGUUUCCAGGCAGUAACCAACCCACACACAUAGUAUCACUUUACAGUCUUAGCUAUUGCCAUUUUUUCUGAACAAAGUUUUGUUCUUUUGUAUCCUUGUUCUACGAGUUUUGUGCCUACUUGGUUCAUCAUCAUUGCCCUUAGUCUCCCUUCCCACAUAUUUACCUACUCAUUCACAAACUAUCAACCUUAUGCCCCACAUCUGCCUAACAAAAGAUUCCUAGUGUACAGAGAAAUACUCAUUCCAAAUUGAAGAUUGUUUGGCACUGUCACCAAAUAAAACCAAUAAGCCUGCACAUCCGAGCCAAGAAUUCCUCAACCAUUCAUCCCCUCAUCCCUGUGCCACUAAAUGUUGAAACUCCAUUCACUUGAGAAAUCUUGUGACAAGUUUUCCACAUCCAUAAAGCAGAUAAUCCUGAAAAACUCUCAAGAAAUCAAGACCAUCUAAAUGAUUUGACCCUUUAUUUGUACAUGGAAGGUGCUAAAGAUGUUUGUUUCCUCUGGAAAGGAGGUCCAUAUUGAGUGCGCUUCACCAAAAUCUUCUUAUUUGAAGCUUUGCCAGCACAUAUAGAUCCUAUAGUUUAGUCAUUUUUUGGAGCCACUCAACCAGGCAUCAGGUCUUUCAAAUCCCUUCAUUUACUAGCAAUGAAUUCCUGAGGAACUUGCCCUUAGGGCUCCACUUUAAUGCAAAAACUUCCUUUCUGUCAUCAGGUUUCCUCAGUAAUAUUCAAUUAAUUACAGUUUCUAGAGAUUAGAAAGUAUAAUACCUUUUCCCUUUUGGCAUGAUAUUGUAAAAUAAAUUGGAUCACCAGCCCUCUCAUCAAGAACCUCAAAAUUUUACAGCUGAGUACCAGUCAAUGGUAAUGCACAUGCUGCCUAUAAUGAGAAUCAUCAAAUUACUACAUAAUGCCAUGCGUCAAACAGAAAUUUCAUAGGAAAGAAAAGGACAACAAAAUCAAUUGCAGGCCAACUAAAACUAGAGACCUAUAAGCCAAAAGAAAUUGAUGAGAGAUUAGAUGCACACCAAAGCAUCAUUUUGUCAGCAUAUGCAUUCUUGCUUUCUAAAGGAAGCAUGGGUUUCAGACCAAAAAUAAAGAACAUUCAUAUUUCCUCCUGAAAUAUAGAAAAGCACUUCCAACCAAGCAGUAGCAGAAUAACAUGUAUUGAACAAACAACACAUAUCAUGGGGCCCUUCUACCACUCUCUUCUCUCGUCUAUGGCAACAUCCAAGCUUUCCCAAACAUGCUACUUCAUGGAUAAAAGUCCCACUUGUACAAGCUAGAAUAAAUUAGGACCAAGCCUUCCUGAUCAGGAUUGAACACUGAAAAUUACAGCUAGACCGAUCAGACAUGCCUUGAACCUAAAAAAUUGAUCAGUGAAUUCAAACCAAAUUAGAAAUCCAACUGAAAAAUCAAAGAACUAAGACUCUAAGUUGAUCUUCAACUCUUUACACUGACACUAGCCUGCCCAUUAGAGACACACUAUCACCAUCUAUUAGAAUAGACUAACUAACAAUAAAAAUAAUAACUACACGCAUAGAAACAGUGGUGACUUCACAAGAUUAUUUUGUCCCAAUUUGUUCAACGUAGAUUAUAUGAAAAAUUAGGUGCAGGACAAGCAGAGACCAUGAAAAGCCCAUCUCUCCAGGUAGCCAACUUCAAGCAUGUCUCCAAGUACCCGAUAUAAAACCCCAGAUCUGCAUUCAGGUAUCAGCCUGCACAUAUCAUUCAAAAAUGAAAGUAAAAAAUCUCCAGAUUUUCUCACAAUGGCAGACCAAGCUAAUACAAGGGGACUUAAGGGUGUAGGACUUAGAAUCAACACAGAGAGGAAGGCCAGAAAGUGAUUCAUGAUUGACCACAGUAAGGCUAGGAGAUUGAUGACAUUCUACUAGCUUGACCUUGCAUAGUAUCUAUAGGUCAGGAUUAUUGCAGCUUUUAAACACAACCUUCCAUAAAAUUUCUUAGAAAUUAGUUCCAUGUGAGGAGUGACCCACAAAAUAGGUGUCUAAAACAUAGCUUACCAACAAUUGGCAUAUUAAUUUAGACUUUCCAAAUUUUCUAUUAAUGAGCUUAUGAUCCAGAAUAAAAUAACCCAAUUUAAGGCAAAACCUUCCUUUUAGACAUGAUCAUACGUAAGUUAACAAUUCAGAAUGCUGACACAUGGUUCUUAACAAUGUGUGUGAAAUGAUAAAUAGUCUUAUAUCAAGACAAAUCAAAGCAUUUUAAAGUGAAAUCCUGGCAAGUAUUCCAGUAGACUGACUGCCACUUGAAGAUCUGAAAUUAGUAGACCAAAUCUAAGAGACAUCUAAUGUUUACCAGAUGAGGAAACUCUACACAGAGUCCCACCAAUUUGCUUCAAAGAAAUGCACUUCCUGAAUCAAUAAAAAUCUUCUUCAACUCAAAGCCUAAUACACAAAGAGGAGUUCUAACAUAGCUAUCUUAACCAUAAUAUUCACUGAAAUUUGAAUUAUUCUGAAUGAGCAAUCACUGAGAACAAAUCAACCAAUAUUUCCAAAAAGGACCUCUGAAAUUUUCUCUUAAUUUCAGUUUUUCAUGAGCACCAUCCAUAUUCAACCAAAAAUUCCUUGCAUCCUCAUUAAGGACUGAUGUCCUGCAAAAUAAUAGCCAAAUCCAACAAAAAAAACUCAUUAGAUAACACAAAAAUGGAAGACCUGGUAAGAGUAUCUCCCCAUGAAUCAUCCAUUGUUCUUUUCCUCCAUAUUUAAUGACCUUCCAGUUUUGUGGAGAUAAGAUGAAGAGAAAGGUAAGAGAGGUGAAAUUAUACAUUAUGCAAAAUCUAACUAACCCAUGAGAAAUUUUUUUACCAAAUAUUGAUUUUAGUAUUUCCUCUUUUAAAACAUCCAACAGCUAUAGGUAAUUAAAGGUGGUAAACCACAGUCGAUAAAAAAUUCCAAGCCAAGACCUCAAGAAAGGAAUAUGGCACAUAAAGUCAUUAAAGUGAAACUCAAAGGCCUGCAUGAUUAAAAUACUCUGAAAAAUUAACAGCAAUGUGAAGCAAGGGAUGGGUAGAGCAGCUUAUGCAGAGGUGAAAUGAGCAAAUAGUAGUAUUUCACUAGAAAUCAUAUUUUAUGGUGGAACUUUCAGCAUGCUCUACAUCAUUUUCACUCCAUAAUCCCAAAAGAUUAUGCCUACUACAAGAAAAAUGAGCCAGUUACUUAACUAAAAUGUGCUUUGUACUUAAGAAAGAAGCACAAGGAUAAAUUCUUAUCCAUUUAAGAAAGAAAAAUAGCUCCUAGUGCAUUCAUAAUUAACAUAUAAAUGAUGUUUUACUCAUAAAUGUAAUGUAUAUGCCCUGCUAACAUGGUAUAUUUAUGAAGUUUCAUCAGUAAUCUAAUAAAGUUUAUAUGUCUACUGCAAACCCCAUUAACUUUUUUUUUUCUUUUUUUUUUUGGAUAGGCAAACAAAAUUAUAUUAACAGCACCAAUCAAAAAAAAAAAAAGGCACACCGAAGUACACGGGACAUAUGCAAGGGUGCCAAAUGGCAAAGAAGGAGAAAGAAACAAAAAACUUCCCUCCCAUUAACUAGAUCCCAACCAGUCAACUAGUUCUAAAAUAGAUCCCACAGUUUCAAGCAUUGGAUGUAAUUACAUCUAUACGUUUUCAUAUUAGACUCAAUAUAGAAAACAACAAUCAAUCUGUGUUUUAAGACUACAUAGCUAUUAACAUUGAAACUUAAAACUUUGUCGCCAAGACAGAACUUAGGAACCUAGCCCAUUAAACAAAUAUAUGAUAGGACAGUAAAAUACAGAAGUACCAUUUUAGAAACGUUUAAGACAACUGAAAAAGGUUGAAGUAAUAUUAAAUGCUAAUAUUUCACAACCGGAACCAUCCUGGUGCCAAAUUAAGCACAACUCAAUCAUAAUCAGUUAUGUUUGAUAGAAUAUCUAAAUAAAAUAUUAAGUUUAGCAUACCUGCAGAAAGAUAUGGUUAUGUAUAAGUAAUUACUUUGUGAGAUGGAAUCCACAUCAUACCCAAGAACAUGGCAAGUCAAGCUUGUUGAUGAUCAAACUAACCACUGUAAGCUGCAAUACAUGAAACUACUAAAACAUCUUUUAAUUAGUAUUAUUAUGUACAGUUUGAAAGGGAAAGGGGAUCUGAAUGCUAACGAAUUACAUUCAGGUGCAUACAUAACUUAUGGAGGAGACCCUGAUUAUAUUAUGAACAGAAUAUAAAAGAGAUAAAACAAAGAGUUCAAUCAAUAUACAGUACAGUUAUUCAGCACUAUAUGGCUUUUGUUAGGGCACAGCUGCCAUAUAGGAGCUGGACUUGUACAACCAGUGCACCAUAGCAUCAUAAGCCUGAUCCAAGUAAUGUUAACACACCAGUUAUGGGUAUUGAGACAUUUCAUUUACCAUAUGGCAGUAGAACCAUGACUUCAUGUUAUUGAACACUAUAGCUAUAAUUAUAUUAAAUCAAUUAUUUAUAGCAAAUAAAAUAAUGUUCAAUUAACCAGUACUGACAAACAUGCAGUUGAAAACUUGAUGAACUUUAAUUAAUUGUGUCCAUGCCAAUGCAUUUAGAGGUUGUUUGAUAAUCAUUUAGGGGUUCUUUGAUAAUCAUAUCAAGUACAGAGAACUUUGAUAUAUAUAUAUAUAUAUAUAUUCUAUCCAUGCAAUGCAGUUGGUGAUACAAAAAUUGUUAUCCACUUAAAAAUAAGUUAAACUUGGAAAAGGGCUUCUGCAAACAGCCCUAACCGUAUACAGAAAGCAUGAGAUGCUCCAUUGGACUUCAGAAUUUUCUCACUUUGAAGUUCUAUUUUUGCUCUCUUUUUCCAUCAAAAUGACACCCUUCUUCAACUUUGUAUCACAUGCUUGAAACAGUAAAGCAAAAUUCCCUUCACCUCCUUCACAAGCCAAGGUAUUUUUCCAAAUUAUGAUUUUAACCUGUGUUUUUUUUUUUCCUUUCUUUGCUUCUAUAGAGAUGAGACUUGUUUUGGUUGGGAGUUCCUUCCCUCACUCCCUCCCUCUCUCUCUGUAGUUUUGUGGAUUGGAAUACAUUCACUUUUUGGAAUAAUUAAUUUUUUUAUUAACGCACCAAUUUUUUUUUGGACCAGGAUUCUAUACACAAUAUAAAUGAUUUUUUUUUUUUUCCCACACUACCAUGACAAUUGACUCACUGGAUCUCAUCUUCUGUCCUCUCACUUGGUUUCUUUUUGCCUUCUUCCUGCUUAGCUUCUUUUCACAGGAUCACUCAUUCUUUUUUGUAAAUUCUUCCCUUCUAUAAAUGAUAACAGUCUUGUUUCUUGUCAAAAGAGGGAAGGGGAAGAAGAAAGUUUGACACAAUUUGGCCUAAAAUAUAUACAAAUGCAACAUCUUCAUUUCUUUUUCCCUUUUUCUAUGCUUUUUUUAAUUUUUUUUCCUUUUUGGGUAGGCUUUGUUGUAAGGUCUCCUAGUGCAGAAAAAUAGCAUCUCAACAACCAUGUGAUUUGUAACAAGUACCAUCUCAACUACUAAGUGGUUUGCAAGUACACACCGAUGCCAUCUCAACUACCAUACCAAUGCUCUCCUUUAAGUGAUCAAAGAAGCAGAGUCUAAAGUACAACCUGGUAUAUACCUAUUUGAGAUUAAAAUCCCAAUGGUAUAAAAUAUUCUACUGCAAGUAGCAUAUGAAAUUUCAAAUAAAAUAUGUAGCAAAAUUUGAAAGUGAGUAAAAGAUUCCUUCCAAGUGUUGAAGAAAAUUUAAUUUUCUUCCAGAUGAUGAUACUAUAACUGGAUUGGAGUCUAUAAUAUCUAGUGAUCACCAAAUAACCAAGACAUUUUACUAAGUCUGCUUUGUCUACCACACCUUUCCAAAUUGAAAUUGAGAUCUUAUUUAUCAAACUAGUUCAACAGAAUUUUCUGAAAUUCGGUACAUAAAUGUCAAUAAAAGAAUGCCAUUACAAGAGUAUAAAGAAAAGCUUGUUGAGUAAAAAAAUUUAAGAGUUUGAUUGAAUUCCACACUAAAAUUUCAUAUGAUAUCAAUUGGUUUUUCACUUUUUUAAGUUCAGAACUCAAAAGCCUUCAUCACUAUGCUAUAAUUUUCACUGUCACUAACCAUCCCCUUAAAGGGCUUACCAAUGCCCAUAUUUGAUGGAUCUGAUACAUAUCCCACAGCAGCAUUCAAAUCAUGUGGCUGACACUGGCACAUGAGGAAAAGGAACUUAUACACUGUCACUAACCAUCCCCUUAAGACAGAGCACAAAGGAGAAUGGGGUUGAACUGCUGAAGAUAUAUCAAGGUAGUUUGGCUGUUCCCCAUGUCUACAGGAUUAUUUGAGGGAGGAGGGAAACCUUGGGAUCUAGAAUUGUAUUGCAGUUGAUAUCCCAAUAAAAUUCAAGCAGCAAGGAUUAAUAAAACAUUGAAGCUUUAGAUUUAUCAGUUAUGGAGGAGAGAAGAUAACAGACUGUAAAAGCAAACUGUGUUUGCAGUAUCCUCGUUGAAGAUGCUCAUGUGCAGCAGGGUGCAUAAAUAUGCAAGUGUCUAUUACCAUGAUGGAGGAAAAGAAAAUUAAUGACAGGAUUUCUGGCAUAAUUAAAUGAUAAUCAGGUUCAGCAUCAUUUCUGAAGCUGAUCACUACUUGUGUUUACUUAGGAAACUCUUAAUUAGUGACUGAAAACUCCAAUGCUAUGUUUGGUUCUGGGAAAAUUGGAGGAAAAAUGGGAGAAAAAAAAAGUGAAGAAAAAUAAAAAAUAGAUUUAAAAGUUAAUAAAUUACUUUCACAAGUUUCUUCAAACUAAUUUUACUUAUUUUUCACUCUUCUCUAUAAAGACUAAAUGAUUUUAUUUUCUUUUAUCUUUUACAUAGUAAAAACAUCAUAAGAUCAAUUUCCUUCAUUUUUUUUUUUCCUUUCCUUAGUACUUUCCCAUAACCAAACAUAACACAAAACUAUCAAUCAUUUCCUCAUUAUUUACAGAAGCACAAAAUAUUAGUAGUCAGAUUGGUUUUAAAUUGACGGGAUCAGUAGCUUAUUGGUAUUCAAGGGAGUUCAUCUUUGCACUACAAGUACUUUUUAGGUAAGAUUCCCAAAUAACUAUGGAUGGUUUCUAUGAAAAUUUCUACACGGGUGUAACAUUAAAACACCAUCCUCAAGCUCAAGAAAUCAAACAUGGAAACUGGAGAUUAUGAAAAUGCUAACAUAGAACUACAGAAUAACAGAGGAAUCAAAGAAAAUAUAUGAAAGCUGUCGUUUUCUAUCUGAAUUGGACGAUUUACAAGGCAAUAUAACUUGAGUUACACAAUUAUUCGAAAUCAUUCAAAUAUCAAUAUAAUUCAAGACCCUAUUUUGUACAAUAUACCCCAACAAAGCACAUGAAUUCCCUAAAAAAAAUGAAGUGGAAAAAGGAUGAGCAAGCUACAACAAAUCAAACAUAGCUAUAUGAAAAUUCAACUAUAUUCACGAUCAGGAUUUGAAGCAAACCGAGGUUCUCUCCCUCCAUCUAGAAGCUUCAAUAAUGCAAUGGCCUUGCUCUUCCCUUUGGGGCUUCCACCAUCUGCAACGACUGCAAUGCCAUCGUACAACCCCAUCCCCGCCUCCCUCAUAUCUCCGGCGAUCCUCUCGCCUCCGCAUUGCACCAAAUUCAACAGCGCUGACACUGCAUUCUCCUUGGUCCUUAUACUUGAUCCCGUGGAAGGAUCGAGCAAGUCCACCAAAAUCCCAAUUCCGGAGACCUUCCGAAACGCGUCUCCACCCUCCUCGCAUCCGGCGAUCUGCGCGAUCACCGCCGUGGCGUCCUCCACGAUUCCGACGCGCCCGUCCUUCACAGCUAGCGUGAACAGCGCCGCCACGGCGCCGAGCCCCACCAUGGAGGCGCGGUUGAGCGGGUAGAGGGAGAUCCCGAAGAGUGCCUUGAGGGCAUCCUUGAUGGACCUUGGCGGCGCGUGGGGGGUACGUAUAAUGUCCACGAGUGCGUAGACGAUGUCGCGCUUUGCUCCGAUGAUGGGGCGGUAAUCAUCAUCAACAAGAAGGCUGUAGAGGGUGGCGGCGCAUGCCUGGAUGGCGGCGGGGGAGGAGGAGGGGGAGCGGAGAGCAUGAGAGAGAGCGUCGAGGAGACCGCGCGUGGACAUGAGGAGUUGGCGGCUGGAGAUGGAGAGGUUGAGGAGGGUGGCGGCAGCGUUUUCUUGUUCGAGGGGAAGGGCGGAGUAAAGAGUUUCGCAAAGGUAGGGAACAGCGCCGGCGUCGGCGAUGAAGCAGCGGCUGUCGGGGUCGUGCUUGGAGAUGAGGCGGAGCUCACAUAGUGCCUCGGUUCUUGUUUGCUGAGAAACGGAGCUGAGCCUGGCGACUAGAGAUCGAGCCGUGCGACGUUUCACUUCCAUUGUUGGGUGGCGCCUGGUGGUUGAAACUUGAAAAGGAAACAAGAGAAAAAAAAUGAGAGAAAUAGCAAGGGAUCGGCCGCAAUUUUUUAACUAGCAUCUUUCACAGCCAUUUCCAUUUUCCACCGCCUCCGCCUCCAACUCAUCGCAGUCUUUUCCCUCCUUUAUCCGCACGCACUUUGACCACUGCUUUGCUUUCCCACUUGCUCACAACAACAACGUCUCGUCAUCUCUAAAUAUUUUUCUUUUCUUCCUUAUAAAUCAUUUUCUAUUUUAAAUUAAAUCAAGUUUAUUAAAAUAUAAAAAGAAAAAAUAUUAUGAAAAACAACUUCAUAUUUAAUAAAAAUUUCAUGAUAUCAAAUUUUAUUUUUAUUUCUUUAUUUGAGUUAAAUUAUAACAAAUAGUUUAAAAACAUAAAAUAAACAAUUCACAUGUAGCUAAUCGAGAUUUUGGUCUGUUCAUAUUUUCUCAAUUCUUAUAUCCACAUCUUAAAUUACGAGUUUCGCAUUUCAUUGGGUAUUUCUUGUUUUUUCCUCACAUCUUUUAUCACACAAUACUAUUUUUAUAAACACAUUUUCAUUUCAAAACUUUUUUUUACUUAAAAUAUUUAUAAAAAUAUUUCUAAUAAUUUUUCUUAUAAGAAUCUAUUAUUACAAUAAUAUAUCAAGUUGAGAAAUAUUCUUUAUAAAAAUAAAUUUAUAUUAUUGGACAAUGUUUGGUUCCCAAAAAAGUAAUAAAAAAAAAAUUUAGAAAAAUUAUUUUUUCAUAUUUGAUUUCAUCACGUGAAAUACAAAAAAAAAAAAUCAAAUAUAAUUAUAAUUUUAUAUAUUUUAAAAUUAUUUAAUCCUUCCAUAAUAAAGGAAAUUAAGUUAAAUAAAUUUUAAAAAAUAUAUAAAAAUAAUUUAUUAAUUUUAAAUUUAUUUUUUAUUUUCAUUCACUUUUUCUUUAUUUUCUUUAUUUUACCUUUUACUUCAAAUUUUAAUAUAGUCUUAAUCGAACACUUCUCAACAAAUAAAAAGGGCUUGGGAGAGUUAUGUUCAUAAAAUAGUAUAUGUAAUUUAAAUAUUGGUUUUUCGAUAUUAAAAUAACAUUUAAUGUUUGUAGAGGGGUGAAGAAGUUUGUUUAAUAAUAAUAAUUGAAGUGUUUCUCCAUCCCUCUUGUUAGGGACUUGUUUAAUAACUGUUUUUGAAAAUAAUUUAAAAAAAUUAUUUUUGAAAAUAGUUUCUAAAAAUUAUUAUCUGAUUUUUUAGAAUAAAAGUUUGUUUAAAAAUCUAAAAUAUUUUUAAUAUUUUUAAAAAUAAAUUUAUAUAGAAUGUUUUAUUUUUAUCGAAAAUUAAGUGAAAAUAAUAUAAAAUAAUUAAAAGAUGUUUUUUAAAAAUAUUUUGUUUCCGUUUUCAAGAAUAGAAAUUAAAAACAUAUUUUUUGUAUUUUUUAUUCGUAAAACAAAAAACCGUUAUAAAAAACAAUUACGUGCCUGCCGGUAUAGGUGGUUGAAACGUGGAAGACAUUUCCACAUUUGUAUAUGUACGGAUGUUGUCAUUCCAUCCGUACUAUACUCAUCUUCAUAGAUUUACAAUUUAGCUCCCUCAUUAACAUUACACAUUAUAAAGUUAAGAAGGUUUUUUUAUUUAGAGGUUGGAGAAUAGUUUAAUAUUGGAAACAUUUUUUUUUUAAAAUCGAAAAAUAAUAAUAAUUUGUAUAUUAUGUAAAAGAACUUUUAGAAACUUUUUAAAACUUGCUAUCUCAAAUUUAAAUUUUUUAAAUAAUUUAAAAAUAUAAGAUAAAUUUAUAUAUAUAUAUAUAUAUAUAUUUAAAAUAUUCUACUUUUUUAAAAAGGUUUUUAAUUUAAAAACAAAAAAAAAGUGUAGUUUUUUUUACAUUUAACAUAUGAAUAUAAACUUAGAAAAUGUACUUAGUAUCGAAGGAUUCUUUAAAGAAUUUGGGUGAUUAGUAAAUCAAUUUAACAACUUAAUGAUUUAAUUUAUAUCAAUUUUAAACAUAAUUUUAUAUUUAAGUAAGAAUAAGUUUAUUAUUUUAAUUUGAUAUUUAAAGUUGUUUUUAAUUUUAAGUUGUGAUAUUAAAUUAUUUAAAAAAAAAAUCGAGAGUGAUAAAAUAAAUGGUGUUUGUUUUUUUAACUAUUUGCUUUAAAUAAUUUGUUUAUAGACUUUAAAUUUGAUUUUUUAUUUUUUUUAUUUAUUAUAAAAUUUUAGUUGAAUAAAAAAAAUCAAAGUAUUUAACUUUUUUUAAAUAGAAAAAAAAUAUUAGUUUUUUUGGUUUUUUAUAUGAUAAUAAAAUAUUAUAAAAACAAAUAAAUUAAUAUUUAAUAUUAUUAAUUACUAUUUAGUUUAAAGUUCUAAAAAAACAAAUCCUACUAAUGAUUUUUAGUAGUUUAUCAAGAAAGGUUGAUAUGGGGGCCACUCGUUCCGAACCCGAUGAUUGUCAUCGUUUGUCAUUCAUAGGUAAGCUCAUUUAUGGAUGAAAAGCUUAAAUGAGGACAAAGAAAUUGGGAGUGUUGGACAGCCCACCUACUACUCCAAGACUCCAAGACCCAGGUGAAUGCAUGCAUUCAGCUUUAGAUUCAUUCAGUGGCUUUUGAAUUAUUAGAUAAGACUCAGUAUAUGCUUUUGUAGUUUUAGGCGUGUUGACAUCUGCCUCUAGAUAAGGUUUGUUUACCGCACCUUAUUAUUAUUAGCUAACGUCCCAUUCACAUUUAUUUCUCCCUUCCACUUUCUAUUUAUUAAAAAUAGUAUUUUUUUUUUUUUGCUUUUUCCAACGUGGCUAUUUUUAUUAAAUAUUAUAUUUUUGAUAUGCUACCAGAAAAUAAUCAAAGGCAUGGUUCGGGAAAAUUAAAAGAAAGAAAAUAAGAAGAGAAAAUGAAGGAAAAUAAAAAAUAAAUUUAAAAGUAAUAAAUUAUUUUUAUAUAUUUUUUUAAAUUUAUUGUACUUAGUCUAUAUUUGGUUCUAGAAAAUUUUGAAGAAAAAUGUAAACGAAAAAAAAUAUAAAGGAAAAGUAGGAUUAAAUAAAAAGUGAAUAAAAUUAAAAAAAAAUUAAAAAUUGGUAAAUUAUUUUUAUUUGUUACUUUAAACUUAUUUUACUUAUUUUAACUCAAUGAUAUAAAAAUUAAAUAAUUUAAAAUUUUACUUAUUUUAACUCAAUGAUAUAAAAAUUAAAUAAUUUAAAAAUAUAUAAGUUUUUAACUAGUUUUAAUUAUAUUUGAUUUACUUUGACAUUUUUAACAGGACAAUCAAAUAUGAAAAAAAUUAUUUUUUUUAUAUAUUUUUUUUUCUUAGUAUUUUUUUUGGGAGAGAAAUAUAACUUUAUUUUUUUCGAUUAUACAAAAAUUCAAUAAUUUUAAAAUGCAUAAAUUUAUAAUUAUAUUUGAUUUUUUUUUUAUAUUUUUUAUAAUGAAACCAAAUAGAAAAAAAACAAUUUUCUUUAGUAAUUUUUUUUCUUUCCUAAAUACUUUCUAGGAAUCAAACAUAACCUAAAAUAAAUAUGAUAAAAAAAAAUUAGGGUUUUGUUGAGGUGAAUGUUAAAUGGUUUUUUAAAUUAAAAAGAAUUUUUAAAAAUAAUAUUUUGUUAUUCUUAAAAAAAGAAGAAUUAUUUGUGAGCUCAAUUUUGAAAAAUAAUUUGCUUUGGUAGAGCAUUGUGUUUUUAUUCUUUUACGAUUAGUUUGACAACUACAUUAGAUAAUAAAAAACUAUUUUAUGUUUUUUGAUCUUAAAAAUAAAAAAUAUGGUGAGAACUUUUUUUAAUUGUUUUCACUUAUUUUAUGAGAAUGAUUUAAAAAAAUAGUCAUAGAAAUACAUAGAAUGAUUAAAAAUAAAGCAUUAUACAUGAAAAUUAUUUUAAAAAAAAUAUUAAAAACAUAUGAAAAAUAUUUCAAAUUUUUAAAUAGAUUUUGUGUUAUAAAACAUUAAAAAACGGUUUUCCAAAACUAUUUUAAAAAAACUACAUUUUAGAACUAUUUUCGAAAACAACCAAACAGAUCUCACUUUUUGAUAACAAAUUAAAUUACCAAAACAACUAUUUUGAGUCCAAAAUUGAUCCAAAUAAGUUUUUGACGGAAUUGGCUUUGGUCUACGGAAUAAUAUUUGAACAUCCGUGGACAUUAUCAAAGGGCUGUUAAAUACAACAUCCGUUUUUCUCCCCCGCACUACCUCUGUUGCACGACCUCGUCCAAACAAAGACAUAAAGUGGGAGUGGUAAUCCCUGUCAAAUUGAGUCCCUAUGCAAUAUAAAUGUUGCCAAAUGACCAUUUUACCCCUUCUCGUGGGCUUUCAUGUCCUGUAAUAUUGGCAUCUUAAAACAAAUUCAAUAAUUUUUAAAACAGAAAUGUCUCUCUUCUCCAAAAACAAAAGAAAAAAGAAAAAUCCGUUUGAUAAGUACAAAAUUAUUUUAUAAUUUUUAAUAUUUUAAAAAUCAAAUCAGAUGGAACCGUUCUGAAAACAUUGGUUUUCACUUAUUAUUUAAAGGUUAUUAUAAAUAAAUAAUUAUAUAAAUAUAUAAAAUAAUUAAAAUAAAGUAAAACAAAUUUUAUUUUUAAAACAUAUUAAAAAAUAUUAAAAUACAUUAAAAACAUUUCAAAUUCCCAAAAACUUGUUUAUUAUACAAAACAUUAUAAAUCAAUUUUUAAAAACUAUUCUCACAAAAUAUUUUAGAGAAUUGUUUUUAAAAAUAGUUAUGAAACACAUUCAAAUAGGACAAUACCAAAUUUUAGAAAACAACUUCUAUACUUAUAUUAGAAUUAUAUUUUCAAAAAAUAAUUUUUUAUUAAUGUAUGAAAAAAUAGUGUGGACUUGAAAAUAGUUUUAAUCCAAUGUAUUACAAAAAUAUCUUUUUGAAAGCAUGUUGUUGUUUUCAAAAUCCGUUGACUUUGCUAGCCCAAAGAAUCGUCCCCCCACUAAAGCUUUUAUUAUGAGGAAACACUUGUUCAAAAUAAAAGCAAGUUGUUCAUCAUUAUACAAUUUGUCUUUGUAGUAAAAGACCCACUAGGUGUAGAAGGCAAGUUGUUCAUUCUCUAUUGACUUAAUUUCUACUGAAUGACCUUUGGGUAUGAGCUUUCUCUUUGUAGUUGAAGUACUCUCAAAGUUUUUGCCGACGUCAUGAGAGCUCUAACCUUAGCAUACCAAUUGUACGGGUUUUUUCAGGUAUAUUUCAUAUCACUCCGAUCCAUCUUGAUAUGAUUUAGAAAAAAAAAUAUAAACGAAUUUGGGAUGGAUUCUAAUUUUUUUUUUAAACCCAUAAAUAAUAUCAAAUAAAAAAUUAUUUUUGUUGAUUUUUUUUUCAUUUUAAAACUUUUUUAAAUAUAUAUAAAAAUAUAACUUUUAAUAAAAAAAUUAUAAAUAUUUAUAAUAUUUAUUAAUUUAUAAAUUGUAUUUAUUUUUAAUAUCAUUUAAAAUUUUAUAAGUAAAAAGUAAAAAUAGAAAGGUUAAAACGUAAGUAGAUGAGUUUGGGAAUUUCCAUGCCUAUCUUGCCUUAUUUAAAUUUGGUUUUUAAAUAAAAAUACAUAGACGGGAUAGAAUUGAGAUAGAUAUAUUCCGUUAUGAACCACCAUAUUAUCAUCUCUGGGUUUUGGCAGGAUGGUUGGUGGCUAUGGUUUGCAAUUGCAAGAUUUAUUUUAUUUUAUUUUUAUUAAUGUGGGAAAUGAAUUAUGAAGUUCCCAUUGCAAGAACAAAAAUUUUUAUUCUUAGAAUUAAUUUUUUAUAUAUAAAAAUACAACAUUUUGUACAAAAAAAAAAGAAUUUAUUUUAUAACUUAAAAAAUCGCUUUAAUUUUUUUUAAAAGUUUGACACAUUAUUUUUAAAAUAAUUUUUAAAACCAUUAAUUUUUUUUAUGUAAAUAUUUAAAAAUUAUUAUUUUAAAAACAGAAAACAAGAAAUAUAUCUAGAAAUGAAUAGAUGUUUGAAAGAGAGGUGCAAUUUAGGUACCUUCCAAUACAAACCAAUUUUAAAUGGGUGUAGGUGUUCCUUUUUGGAAUUUUGGGUGGAAUUAGGCAAAAACAACCAACCUAAACUUGGGUCAGGACAUCCAACAACUUAAACCUAGUUGAAAUCCACUAUUUAACCACUUUAAUUGUAUAUAUAAGUAAUUAUAAGUAAGUAAAUUUUGUAUUAUAUUAUUUAAUUAGUGAUAUUUACACUUUAAUUAAAUUUUAGAAUUUAGUUAAUACUUAAAUAUUUUUUUUAUAUAAAAAUAGAUAGAUUAACUUCUUAUCUAUUAAAAUUAAAUUUUUUAUCUUGUACUAAAUUAUCACAUUAGAUUGAUGGAUCUAAUGUUCAUGAUAUCAAUAGCUAUAUGAUAAAAUAUAUGCUUAUAAGAAUAAACUUUCUUUUGACUUAAUAAUAUCUUAUACACUUUAUUUUUCGAAAGGCAAUGCAAUGCAAUUUGAUCCAACCCAAAUUUUGAUCUGACUAAUCCAUGUGACUUGCUUAACCUGAAUUUAACACAUACAUUUUUUUCUAAUUCAAGCUUAACCUGCUUUCAACUUGAGGUUUGGAAAAAAAAUGUUUGAAUUGAACUUUGAACAUAUGCAAUUUAUUCUUAUAUUGAACUUGGGUUAGUUAUCAAUCCGAUCCAAGCCACUCAAUUUUCAUCCCUAGUUUGAGAAGAAUAGAUGGAUAAAAUAUUGAAUGAAUUGUAUGAAAGAAGAUGAAGGGGCAUGUAACUAAUUUGGCUUAUUUUAUUUAUUUAUUUAUUUAACAAUUAAAAAAUAGAAUUAAAAAUUAUAUAAAGAUUGAGAGGGUAGAAAUGGAGAUGCUUGAAAGUUAUAUUUUGGCAGUUCAACUUCCCUUCUCUUUCUUUUAUUUUAUUUGAAUUAAAUUAUGUAAAAUGGCUUUAUGCAAAUAGCCUUUGUAUGUGUGAACAUUAUAUGUCGUCCUACAUUGUUGGCUACAUGUAAGCAUGUAAGUGGGAGAAUCCCAAAUUAAAUUCACUUAAGUCCCAUCAUCACUGAUUACCCAAACAAUUAAAAAAUAAAAUCUGGGUCCCAUCCGAAAGUGACCUUAGACAAAAAAAAUAAACAAAACUAAAAUUAAAAAAAGAAAAAACCGAAAAAAAAAAAACAAGUAAUUAAACCUUAAAUUGAUGUUUGAUACAUUUUCUAUUUUAUUUUUAAAAUUAUAAAUUUUUAUUUAAAAUAUAAGAACUUAAAAUUUCUGUGUUUUUUAAAAUCACAUUAUGACGUCGCUCUUCGCGUUUUACAAUAUUUGAAAGGAAGACCUAGCUAGGGCUUGUUGUUCCUAGCCCAAAAUGAUUUGAAGUUUAUUAUAUUUUGUGAUGUGGAUUGGGUUUGUUGUCUUACUAUGAGAAAGUUUAUUAUAAGAUGUUGUGUUUUUCUUUGAAAGUCACUUGUCUCUUGAGAGACUAAGAAGCAAACCACUGUAUCCUGCUCCUCAAUAGAAGCAAAGUAUAGAGCCAUGACAUAUAUCACUAGCGAGUUCACUUCGUUGAGAUGCUAACUUGGGAGUUGCAAAGAUGCAUUGUGAUAAUCGUGUAGUAUGCAUAUAGUAGUAAACCCCGUAUUUCAUGAGCGAACAAAACACAUUGAGUUAGAUUGUCAUUUGGUUAGAGAGAAAAUUCAAUUUGAAGAUAUGUAUACCAUUUUCACCUCUUCUCAUCUUCAAGUUGUAGACAUUUUUACCAAACGUUUGUGAACAACUCUGUUUCAUUCUCAUCAUUAUAAGUUACACAUCAUCCAUAUUCAUGCUCCAACUUGAAGAGGGUAUUAAAAGUGAGAUAGAAAGAAAAUCAAAUCAUAUUUCCAAAUGAGUAAAAUUCAGAGUUGAACAUUUGUUUCCCAUUUAAUGGUUGAUUUUGGGGGAUUUACCUUGAUUUGCUCUAAUUAUUUCUAUUAAUUUUUUUUUUUUAUGAUUGUUGACUUAACCAAAAGUAUAACAUUAUCUUAUAUUUAUUUUGGAGUCAUUCUUUGAUAGCUCUAUAAUAGUGAAAAAAAAAAUUUUCUCCCCUUCGUGGAUGUAAGCAAAUUGUCGAACCACAUUAUAUCCUUCUGUCAUCUUCUACUUUCUUUUCUAUGCUUUUAACUUGUUAUUCUAUUUUCAUCUUUCAAUUUUACACUUUCAAAUAAGUUUUACUUAAAAUAAAAAUAAACUUGAGUGAAAUGUCAUGGGUGCUAUAGGUGAUUUCAUAUUCUAUUUGGUGAUGCAUGUGAUAUAUUUUAUGUUCAUUCUUGUACACUAACCUCAUUUCAUGAUAGCACAUUAUUCGCUUGUUGCUAAGGUACGCACCCACUCUCACUCUGACCAUUCUCUACGCUUUGUUUUGGCUCCCAAUGUAUGAUCAUCUUUUGGUAUCCACGUUUAAUCAACCAAUUAUCACAGGUACUUCAUUUUAUUAGUAGAGACUCAUUUUUAGCAACUUAGAAUGAUGAUAUGGUUUUUACCGUACCUUCCCAAAUAGUAACCUGACCCUCGAGCCCCGAUUUGGUUUUUCGCAUAUCACAUUUUCCAAAUAAGCAGUCGCACUUAGGGUUUUCUUUCUUAUUUUAUUUACCAUUUAAAAAUAAAACAAAAAUAAGUCGCAACUCCAAGUCAUUUUCUUAAUAAAUAAAUCAUUUUUCAAAUAAAAAGCGAGUUUUGUCAUCGAGUGGGAACGCAUCAAGCGAAAAUACGGGGUCCACAAUAUUGAAAAAUAUUAAAAUACAUUAAAAACAUUUCAAAUUCCCAAAAACUUGUUUAUUAUACAAAACAUUAUAAAUCAGUUUUUAAAAACUAUUCUCACAAAAUAUUUUACAUAAUUGUUUUUGAAAAUAGUUAUGAAACACAUUCUAAAAUAGGACAAUACCAAAUUUUAAAAAACAACUUCUAUACUUAUAUUAUAAUUAUAUUUUCAAAAAAUAAUUUUUUUAUUAAUGUAUGAAAAAAUAGUGUGUACUUGAAAAUAGUUUUAAACCAAUGUAUUACAAAAAUAUCUUUUUGAAAGUAUGUUGUUGUUUUCAAAAUCCGUUGACUUUGCUAGCCCAAAGAAUCGUCCCCCCACUAAAGCUUUUAUUAUGAGGAAACACUUCUUCCAAAUAAAAGCAAGUUGUUCAUCAUUAUACAAUUUGUCUUUGUAGUAAAAGACCCACUAGGUGUAGAAGGCAAGUUGUUCAUUCUCUAUUGACUUAAUUUCUACUGAAUGACCUUUGGGUAUGAGCUUUCUCUUUGUAGUUGAAGUACUCUCAAAGUUUUUGCCGAAGUCAUGAGAGCUCUAACCUUGGCAUACCAAUUGAACGGGUUUUUUCGGGUAUAUUUCAUGUCACUCCAAUUCAUCUUGAUAUGAUUUAAAAAAAAUAUAUAUAAACGAAUUUGGGAUGGAUUCUAAAUUUUUUUUUAAACCCAUAAAUAAUAUCAAAUAAAAAUUUAUUUUUGUCGAUUUUUUUUUUAUUUUAAAACUUUUUUUAAUAUAUAUAAAAAUAUUACUUUUAAUAAAAAAAAUUAUAAAUAUUUAUAAUAUUUAUUAAUUUAUAAAUUGUAUUUAUUUUUAAUAUCAUUUAAAAUUUUAUAAGUAAAAAGUAAAAAUAGAAAGGUUAAAGCGUAAGUAGAUGAGUUUGAGAAUUUCUACGCCUAUCUUGCCUUAUUUAAAUUUGGUUUUUAAAUAAAAAUAAGAAUAAAAAUAAAAAGAUGAGAUAUGAACCACCAUAUUAUCAUCCCUCGGUUUUGGCAGGAUGGUUGGUGGCUAUGAUUUGCAAUUGCAAGAAUUUUAUUUUAUUUUUAUUGGCAUGGGAAAUGAAUUAUGAAGUUCCCAUUGCAAGAACAAAAAUUUUAAUUUUUAGAAUUAAUUUUUUUAUAUAUAAAAAUACAACAUUUUGUACAAAAAAAAAAUGAAUUUAUUUUAAAACUUAAAAAAUCACUUUAAUUUUUUUUAAAAAAAUUGAGGCAUUAUUUUUAAAACCAUUAAUUUUUUUAAUGUAAAUAUUUAAAAAUUAUUAUUUUAAAACAGAAAACAAGAAAUAUAUCGUGAAAUGAAUGGAUGUUUGAAAGAGAGGUGCAAUUUAGGUACCUUCCAAUACAAACCAAUUUUAAAUGGGUUUAGGUGGUCCAUUUUGGAAUUUUGGGUGGACUUACCCAAAAACAACCAACCUAACCUUGGGUUAGGACAUUCAACAAUUUAAGCCUAGUUGAAAUCCAAUAUUUAACCACUUUAAUUGUAUAUAUAAGUAAUUAAAUUUUGUAUUAUAUUAUUUAAUUAAUGAUAUUUACACUUUAAUUAAAUUUUAGAAUUUAAUUAAUACUUAAAUAAUUUUUUAUAUAUAAAAAUAGAUAGAUUAACUUCCUAUCUAUUAAAAUUAAAUUUUUUAUCUUGUACUAAAUUAUUGCAUUAGAUUGAUGGAUCUGAUGUUCAUGAGAUCAAUAGCUAUACAAUAAAAUAUAUACUUUCAUGGAUAAAUUUUCUUUUGACUUAUUAAUAUCUUAUACACUUUAUUUUUUCGAAUCAACUUGCCUAACCCGAACUUAACAUAUACAUUUUUCUCUAAUUUAAGCUUAACCCGCUUUCAACUUGAGGUUUGGAAAAAAAUGUUUGAAUUGAACUUUGAGUUAUAAAUCGUGUUUGAUUGAACUUUGAACAUAUACAAUUCAUUCUUAUAUUGAACUUGAGUUAAUUAUCAAUCCGAUCCAAGCCACUCAAUUUACAUCCCUAGUUUGAAAAGAAUAAAUGGGUAAAAUAUUGAAUGAAUUGUAUGAAAGAAGAUGAAGGAGCAUGUAACUAAUUUCGCUUAUUUUAUUUAUUUAUUUAUUUAACAAUUAAAAAAUAGAAUUAAAAUUAUAUAAAGAUUGAGAGGGUAGAAAUGGAGAUGCUUGAAAGUUAUAUUUUGGCAGUUCAACUUACCUUCUCUCUUUUAUUUUAUUUGAAUUAAAUUAUGUAGAUGGCUUUAUGCAAAUGACCUUUGUAUGUUUCAACAUUAUAUGUCGUCCUACAUUGUUGGCUACAUGUAAGUAUGUAAGUGGGAGAAUCCCAAAUUAAAUUCACUUAAGUCCCAUCGUCACUGAUUACCCAAAACAAUUAAAAAAUAAAAUCUGGGUCCAAUCCGAAAGUGACUUUAGACAAAAAAUAAACAAAACUAAAAUUAAAAAAAAAAAGAAAAAAAGAAGAAGAAAAAACCAAAAAAAAAAAAAAAACCAAGUAAUGAAACCUUAAAUUGAUGUUUGAUACAUUUUCUAUUUUAUUUUUAAAAUUGUAAAUUUUUAUUUAAAAUAUAAGAACUUAAAGUUUGUGUGUUUUUUAAAAUCACAUUGUCUUCACGUUUUUCAAGGCCUAGGUAGGGCUUGUUGUUUCUAACCCAAAAUGAUUUGAAGUUUAUUGGAUUUUGUGAUGUGGAUUCUGUUAGUUGUCCUACUAUGAGAAAGUCUACAAUAGAAUGUUGUGUUUUUUUUAUGAAAAAGUCUACAAUAGGAUGUUGUGUUUUUCUUGGAAAGUCACUCAUCUCUUGAGAGACUAAGAAGCAAACCACUAUAUCCCGCUCCUCGAUAGAAGUAAAGUAUAGAGCCAUUACAUCCAUCACUAGCCAGUUCACUUGGUUGAGAUACUAACUUGGGAGUUGCAACGAUGCAUUGUGAUAAUCAUGUAGCUUGCAUAUAGUAGUAAACCUCGCAUUUCAUGAGCAAACAAAACACAUUGAGUUAGAUUGUCAUCUGGUUAGAGAGAAAAUUCAAUUUGAAGAUGUGUAUACCAUUUUCACCCCUUUUCAUAUUCAAGUUAUAGACAUUUUUACCAAACCUUUGUGAACAACUCUAUUUCAUUCUCAUCAUUAUAAGUUGAGCAUUCUCCAUAUUCAUGCUCCAACUUGAAGAGGGUAUUAAAAGUGAGAUAGAAAGAAAAUCAAAUCAUAUUUCCAAAUGAGUAAGAUACAAAGUUGAAUAUUUCUUUCCCAUUUAAUAGUUGAUUUAGGGGGAUUUAUCUUGAUUUGCUCUAAUUAUUUCUAUUAAAUUUUUUUUUGUGAUUGUUGACUUAACCAAAAGUGUAAUAGUGAAAAUUUAUUUUUUCUCCCUUUCAUGGAUGUAACCACAUUAUAUCAUUCUGUCAUCUUUUACUUUCUUUUCUAUGCUUUUUAACUUGUUUUUCUACUUUCAUCUUUCAAUUUUACACUUUCAACUUGAGAUGUGGAAAAAAAGUUUGAAUUAAGUUCAAAUUGAAAAUUUUGAAUUAUAAAUAAAAAACAUAUUUAAAAAUAUUAAAAACAAAUUAAAAAUUAUUUAAAAAAAAACAGUUAGGAAACAGACUUGGUAGUUCAACUCUCCUUCUCUUUCUUUUAUUUUAUUUGAAUUAAAUAAUGUAAAAUGGCUUUAUGCAAAUGGCCUUUUCAACAUCAUAUGUUGUCCUAUGUUGGCUACAUGUAAGUAUGUAAGAGGAUGAAUCCCAAAUUAACUUCACUUAAGUCCCAUCAUCAACUAAAAAUUAAAAUCUGGGUCUGAUCCGAAAGUGACCUUAGACCAAAAAUAAACAAAACUAAUUUUUUUUUUUUAAAAAAAGAAGAAAAAUCCAAAAACUAAAAACAAACAAACAAAACAAAACAAAAUAAAGUAAUUAAACCUUAAAUUGAUGUUUGAUACAUUUUCUAUUUAUUAUUAUUAUUAUUAUUAUUAUUAUUAUUAUUAUUAUGAUUAUUAACGUCUAGAGGCUGAAGGCAAAACACAAGUCAAAAGUGAUAUUAUAUAAUGGAUUUGUUUUUCUUUCUUCUUCGUUUUUGGCUAAAUAAUAUCAUUUCUUAUGUUUCACAAAGCAAUUGACAACAUCUUAAUCUGCAGCCGAGUAAGCAACAACAAUGUCUAUACUAAUAAAGAACAUAAAAGAUUACCUACCUCUUGACUAUUGAAAUUGUUUCAAUAAAUUAUCACUGAUAAUUGGAGAGGGACAUCCUUGGUUUGUAAGCAAUCAUAACAAAAAUCUAUUGAUGACUUUUAUUAGCAAGUUCUAUAUAAAGUACUUGCUAAGAAUAUGGUGACUAAUCGUAUUCAUGAUAUGUAAAUACGUUUGCUUUCAAAAUAUAUUGUGUUUGGUAUGUGGGAAUGUAAAUGAAAAUAAGAGGAGAAGAAACAAAAUCUUUUAGUUUCCAUAAAUUUUAUUUUUAUUCUUAUUCUUAUUUUAGAAAAUAAUUUAAAUACACUAAUAAAUAAGAAUAAAAUUGAUUUUUCAUUCUCAUUCUUUAAUAUCACGUUAUAUUACUAAGUAAACUUAAAGUAUUCAUAUAAUAUAACAAGGGAUGAAUUGAGUAGAUAAUUUUAAUAUUUCUUUUUAUAUACUCAUCAUGGGUAGGUACCAAAGAAUUAUUUUGGACCAUUGGAUACGCUAGAUAGGAUCUUGAUCAUUCAUUUUAAUAGGUUUUAUUUAAUUUUUUAUUAUAUUUUAUACAUGUGGCAAUAUCCUAUUAAAUGAUGUGUGGAGGUAUGGUAGCGAAAAAUUGUUUUUUGGGUACCAUAGUUUGACCUCAUCCCAACUCUUAAAUUUGUUUUCUAGGUUCAUCAAUAUUGAAUCAAUCAAACCCAUUUAACACUUGUUCUACUUUUGGGAGAUCAUGCAUGAUGUCAUCACAUAUGUUAAUUUUUCAUAUAUAAAUGUACUUAGUGUUUCUCCUUCGUAAAGAAUUUCCCCACUAUCCUAAUCUUAAAAAAUUAUUACUAAAUUGUAUCUUUUUAAAAAUUAUUCUAGUUAACAAUGAAAUUAUGAAAACAAUAAACCCCUAUAAAAUAAAGUAAACAAUGAGGAGAGGAGGAAGAAAAGGGAAACUCCAAUUGAGAUACUUCAACAUAAAUUUAUCUACCUCCAUGACUUCUAAAAUUUAACCCAAGCUUCACUAUGUAAGUAUCCUUCAAACCAAAAACUUUUUUAAUGUAUGCUUUGUUUCUUAGUAUUAAUGGACUUUUACAAUAUUUCAAGGAUUCUUUCCUAAUAUUCCACCACUCCCGAGCACAAGAGUAGUAAAUGUAUCUUGAAGAAAAUAUAGGAUUAACUUUGGAAAAUGGUUACAAGUGAAAGAGUAGCUAGUCUUCAAGGGUGGACUUAGCAAGGUUUGCAAGUUUGGAAUAAUUACACCAAAAAGUGAUUAAAAGUCUAAAGGUUUGUUUGACAACUGUUUGCGAGAAUAAAACACGUUUUACAAACAAAAAUUAUUUUUCGAUUUUUAGUUUUUAAUAAUAGAAAAUAUAGUAUUUUUAGAUAUCAUAUUUUAUUUUAUUUUUUUUAAUUAUUUUCUCUUAUUUUUUUAUAAUUGUUUAAAAAAAAUAAUUAUACAAACAUAUAAAAUAAUUAAAAAUAAAAUAAUUGAUAUAAAAAUUAUUUUUUAAACAUAUUUAAAAUAUGUUUAAAAUAUUUUAGGUUUUCAAACAAACUUUUAUUCUACAAAACAUUAAAAUACAAUUUUCAAAAAUUGUUUUCGAAAACAAUUACCAAAUAAGGACCAAGAUUUCAUUAGAAUGAUAUGCAAGUUGGAGGUGAUUCAUAAAUGGUGUUUGAAAGCUUUAUUUGAGAUUUUUAAUAAUAUGCAACUAGUCUAUCAUGCCAUAAGCCACAAAAGUCAACCAUAUAUAUAAAUAGAAGAACUAGAAACAUUCGCAUCCAUAAUUUAAGAAAUGUUUAAUAUGAACAAGUAUUGGUUACAACCGCAAAGUGUUUAAAAACGAAAGCGUAAGACAAAAAGUGUUUUUGUAUCAUUGAGGAAACAUAAACUUCAAAGUGUUGAGGUGUUCGCCUUUUGAGUUCCUCAUUUAUAUAAUUAAUAAAUAUUUAAAAAUAAUAUAUAAUAUAUUAAAAAUAAAACUAAAAUAGAAUAAAUGAAAAACUUGAUAACAAGUACAUGAGAAUUAUAAAAAAGCAUACUAAUAAUUUCAUACUUUCACAAAAAAUCUUAACUAACUCACAAAAUAGCAAAUAGAGUCAAACACAUAUGACUAAACUUUUUCAACUUAACUCCUCUCCAAUGCCAUCAUUAUUACCGUCAUUCAAUGUAUCAAUAAUAGAAAAUUUUCAACUAUCAAAUCCUCUUAUUUCAUCUGUCAAAUUUAACUUCUUUUCUUUAUCUUGCCUUUACUUUUACCUAGCAUAAAAUAUAAAUUAGGUGAAAAUAUUACAAGUUCAUUAAUAAAUUUAAUCAAAUUUAUAAUUUAAAUUUUUUAGUACUUACUUGUAAUUUCAUCGUGUUUUCUUUUUUAGAAAUGUGAAGAAACCAUGUUGUCUAAUGGUGCUUGAGCCUCUUAGUUUUUGAAUGACACAAUUUUAAUGACAUCACCAUUUAAUAAUUUAUUAUCUUCAAACCAACAAAGAUCAAGCAAAAGAAAGGAAGUUGAUUUCUCUAUAAUUCAUUCAUCAUCCGAAAUAUGAUUGAGCAUCACUUGCAUGGACCUCUAUUUUCUCUUUACAAUCCAAUGGGCCUAGAUAGCGAGUUUCAAUUUAUAAUCUUUUAGGUCAUCUUUGAAAUGUUGAAAUAGAGAAUGAGAAAUCAAUUCUAUUCUCAUUCGUCAGUGUGUUUUGAUUAUUUUUUAAAUAAUGAAAAGAAUAUAAAGUUCAUUGUUAUGGAAACCAAAUCCUACUUUUGCUAGGAUUUUGAUUUUGAUUUUUUUUUUCAUAUAGGAUUAUGAUUCAAUUCAUUCUUAUCAUAUUUUCAUUCAUAUUCCUACUUAUCAAACACACUCUUAGCUUUAUGUCUUUUCAAAGUGGGUGUAGACCGUCCAUUUUGUACUUGUAGCACAUGUUUUGAAUGCAUACUUGGUGCCCUUUCUCUUUUCACCCUUGUAUAGUAUGCAUGUAGGCUCUUCUUUUGCUUAUUUGUUCUUGUACUAGUUAGUGGUCCAAACGAUAUUCGACUUUAAAACUAAUUUUUAACCUACUUUUAGAGACCUUUUAGAGGAAGUUUUGAAUUCACAGUGCGACUUUAGUGGUACCCUAAGAGCCCUUAAAGUUUCAAUGAGUUUGGAGGUUGAAUAGGGUUUCAUCAAUGUGAAACUCUUAUACCCCUUUUCGGUGCCUUUUUUCUUGCCUAACUUUUUUAAUCCUUUUUUGAGUUGGUUUUAUGAGAUUUUGUGUGCCUAAACUUGGGGCUUUGGGUCUCCUUGGUUGGGUUUUUAUUUGAGAAAGUUUUAAAGAGAAAUUUAGGCUUUGGUGGAGAUAAUGACAUGUGUCAAAAUCUCUACCCUCCCUUGGCAUAUAAAUAUGAGUCUUGAGGUUCAUUUUGAUAGACUCUAAUUUUUAAGGGAAAACUCUAUCCAUUUUGAAAGAGACAUGAAAGAGAAAAGACUUGAAGAUUUGAAGGCAAGCUUAGCUAUGUGAAAACACUUUUGCAUACUAGAAGCCAAAUAUUGUAUUUGGGGAGGAGUUUCUCAGGUAAGUCAUUCAUGAUUCUAAUUCAGUUUGUUUUCAUUCAUUUAUUGGAUCUUUAGAUGAUGAGUAUAUGAGUUAUGCAUAUUAAAAGAUUGUUUGGUUGGCUAUGUUAUUUUUCAUAUUUGGAUCCAAAUUUGAUUUUCUUCUUUCUUUUUGCUUUGAGUGCUUAUCAUAUGUUUGUAUAUAUGUCAUCAUCUCCAAAUGACAUAGUGCUUAGGUGUUGCUUAAGUCUUUCUUGACUUUUUUUGUUCAAUUCUUGGACUUAUUUAUUUAUUUAUUUUUUUGUAUUUUUGUUUUUUGUUUUUUGAGCCUAUUGAGUUUAAAAGCAUAGUAUUAGGCUCAUCUUGAUUUGUGAUUUGUGGUUUUCCUUUAUUUGCCUAUUGUGAGUUUCAAUUUUCUUUGGAUUUAAUGAUUUUUGGAGAUGUCCUCAAUUGAUUUGAAAAGGAAGAUUGAGAUCCUUAUGUAUUUGAUGUUUUGUUUACCCAUAGUACUUAAAGCCUUUUUUGUUAUUUUGUAGUUUCCUUUUCAAAACUAAUUGUUAAGUCUUGUUUUAAACUUAUUUUUAAUUAAAUUUCAAGCUUACUUUGGUAAGUCCAUUUCAUGGCUAAAGUUUAGGUUCAUAGCCAUGGGCUUUAACUUUACCAUUUUGCUUAAAAACAUAACUAAUUGCUCUUAUUUUUUGUCAUUUUUAAAGAUUUUCAAAUUUGAUUUUUAUGAGUCAUUUUUUAGUGCUUAUGAAUAUCAUUUUACAAUCAUUAGGAGGCUUGAAUUCAUAACUAAUUUAUGGUUAUUAAUGGUUUUCGCAUGUUUUGGCAUGCAUAGCUUGAAUUUACAUGAGAGCAUGCUUUUUUAUAUAUGUUUUUGUGUGUGUUUCAUCCUCUUUUUCUUAAAUAUGAGUGUCAACUUAACUUUUAGCCUAUAAAUAGAGCAUUAGAGUUCUUUUCUAAGAGUUUUGGAUUUAUUAGGUGUUCUUGGAUUUUCUUGGGGAAAGAAGAUAAUAUUAAAGAUUCUCAAUUUAUUUUCUUUAUUUUAAUCAAUUGUUUCUAAUUUCUUUUAUUCAAAAAUGAUUAUUUAUUUUUCUUUUGUGGAUUGUGUGAAUGAAAUCACCACCAUGAGAGACUAAAAAACUAUCUUAGAGUGUGAAACAUGAAAACUUAGGGUUAGAAACAAGGGAAAACAAUGGGUAAAAUCGAACUAAAAAUGAAAUGAAUGAAAGGAUUGUCCAUUCAUUGAUACUAAAGAUUUUUAGUAAUUAUUAAUCCCUAAUUAUUUGAGGUUUUGUUAUUGUUAUCUAUCCUAAAACAAAUCUACAUAGAGUAGUAAAAGCUUAAAUCCUAAACCUAAACUCAAUUUUCAUGCCCAUUUAUCUACUGGUAUUUCAAUAAUGAAAUAAAAUAUUAAAAGUUGGGAUAUAGAUGCAAUCCCGAGUUAUGGAAUUUAGGUUGAUCUCAUUGAACCCCACAUUUUGAAUACCCUAGAGUAAUUAAAAUUAAUACCCUUUUUUUGUUCGAGGCCCUAUACUCAAAGUUAGACUGUGAAACCUCAAUCUUGAAUAAUUUGAAUUAGAAAUUAAUAAUUCUUUUACUAUUUAUUUAAGUGUAUUUUUAUUAAACUCAAUUUUAUUCAAAUCAAUUUUUCAUUUCAAUUCAAGAAAUUACAUAAAAAAAAUAAAUUAUUUAAAUCUAGUUUGACAACUUCCAUAUGCUAGUCCUUGAUAAUGAUAUAUGGAGUACUACAAAAGUUGUAGUGACUCUUUCUUUGGUUUUUCUUGGUAGAAGUUGUUAUAUAAAAAAGGCUUAGGAUUUUAGACAAUAGAGAAUUGUGGUCAGCUGUUUUUUUAGUUAUGGAAUGCUUCUUGAGAUCUAUACCAUUUGGUGUAUGUUUGAGAUCCUUUGACUUUGAAUUGUAUUUUGGACAUCUUAUGCAUGUCAAAAAUUUAUUGCCCUGAUUUUUACCUCACCUCUAACUUUGUUAAAUAAAUUCAUCUUUUACAUACUAACACAUUCUCCUAUUUUGCACCUCUUGUACACCCUUUUACCAUUUAAAAUGAAUUUAUUUUAGAAGUGCAUAUAUGUUGUCUUGAUGAUAUGUUUAUAUAAAUUAGUUUCAUUUGAUAUCAGCUUAACCAUUUUUUAUCUGUAAUUUGAAUUACAAAUAUCCUGUACAUAUUGGAUGAUCAUUGCUUUGAUGAUAGAUUUCUUCUUAUAUUUUUAAAAUAACUCAUUCUAUCAUGUGUAAGCUCAUUACCCCUAUUUUGGGCAUUUGUAAGGUACAUUCCAUUUUCCCUUUGAUUGUUUAAUUUCUUUACUAAGUUUGUUAUACUCUUGGGUAAUCUCUAUUUAUUUAGCUUUGAUCCUAUGAUCUUCAAGUGUACACAAUUUAUAUAUUCAUCAUCAUUUUCUUGUUCCUUAUCGUCAUGCCUUGUAAUGUAUUUUGCUCUUAUUGUUUCUCAAUAUUUAUAAUCUACUACUUAAUUGUCAUAGUUUCCUCUAUUUGUUUAGUAGAAACCUUUUUAAGCUUUAAAGGGGUAUUAUCUUAUGAUAUCUUCUUAAGAAGUAAAUUGACCAUCAGAUUUAGGUUCGGUUUUUUACAAACAUGUUUUUCCUUAAAAAAAUAAUGAGUUAUUUUAGGGUUUUAUUUCUUAUUUUGUUUUUCCUUUAAAAAUAAAUAAAAAUAAGUGACAACUCUAGCUUUUCAAAAAUAUACUUUUCACAAUAAAAACGAGUCUUAUUGUCAAGCGGAGAUGUACGUGAAAAAUGUGAGUGCAUAGUGAGACAAAUAAAAACCCAAAUAAUCUUCAUAUGGUUAUUGAACUCGUUUCUUUAUAUUAACUUGCAAAAAUUCUAAUUAUGCUUACAAAUUUGGAGGUGAUAUUUGGUUUUUGGAGAGUACUGAGGAAGAAAAAAAUAUUAAAAAAAUUAUUUUCAUAUAUUUGGUUUUUCUAUUAAAAAUAUUAAAAAAAUCAAAUAUAAUUAAAAUUAGUAGAUACAUUUUCAAAUUAUUUAAUCUUUAUACAAAAAAAGUAAAAUAAGAUAAAUAAGUUUGAAAUAACCUAUAAAAUAAUUUAUUAAUUUUAAAUUUAUUUUAAAUUUAAUUUUUUUCUUUCCUUCAAAUUUUCUAACAACCAAACAUGGCUGCACACGGAAUCGAAUGCAAAAUACUGAGGGUGGGUCAAGAGUCAAGAGUGGGAUCGGUUCAUUUUGAAAGUGAAGUAUUUUCAUAUACUUUAGAAAUUGACAAAACCUUGAUAUGCAGCAGCUGAAUAAUCAACAAUGGUGUCUCCACACUAAUACUGAAAAUGCAAGAUUACCUGCCAAUUGACCAAAGAAGUUGUUUCAAUAAGUUUUGGACAUGGUCAAUUCAUUUGAUGGAGCCAGUCCCCCUACCAAUUCAUUUGAUAAUAAUAUCUUAGGAGAGGCCAAGUGAAGCCCAGUCCCAACAGCCAAUUUGGGUAGCCCAUCCCAGGCCCACCAGGCAGCAACUGGUAGAUUUGGGCCUCACAAUUCCUGAAUUCUGAUUUCUAAGCCCAGUUGGGUUGAAAGUUUUGACUUCUCUCAUUUUGGAGUUUGCUUCAAAUUCAAAAUACUAACAACAUAAAAAAUAAUUAAUAUAAAAAUAAAAAAGGUUAUUUUUAUAAACACUAAAGAGUUUGUUUUGCCGUAUGAUUUAAAAACAGUUUUCUAUUUUUAAAAAUAGAAAAUUAUUUUUAAAAUUUUUUAAUAUUAUUUAGCCAUUGUUAUUUAAAAAUAAUUUUUUUUUUUUUUUUAAAAAUGAACUCGUUUAAUCAUGUUUUUUGAAACUUAUUUUUAAAAAUUAUUUUUAAAUUAAAAAAUAAAAAAUAGUUUUUAAAAACAAGUUUAAGAAAACAUGGUGAUGGCCAUGUCCAAACGGAACUUCGGUAUUUUAUGUUUUAAAAAAUUACAACAAUGAGAUGUGGUCAUAUAGGGGCCUUAAGCAUUAAAAAUUGGAUAAGGGUUUGGUGGGUUUGGUCCAGGGAAGCAAACACAAUAAAGAAGCUUAAUGUCUUUGUUGGGGGUGUCAGAGAAUAAGUGUACACAGGCUAACCAAAUUAGGCAUCACAAGUCAACUUCAUGACCACACACCAUGGGCUCUUGCCGACAACAUUAGGAAUAAUAAUUGGAAAAAUUCUAUGACAUCAAUGUGGAAUUCACCGUAGGGAAAAAGAGCAUCCUCACCUCAGCCUACCUUCAUAAGAAUAAGUUGAGCCUCCCCAACUAUGUCCUCUCUCGUAUUUUUCGAAGAAGAGGGAGAACGAUUCUUUCUCCCUUGUUCUCAUCAUACCCUCUCAAGAAUUCUAUCCAAACAUAUUUGUCAAAUAAAGAGGUUCUUUAGGUGUCAUUCUAUCAUCUUUAAGGUAUCUAAAUAAUUUUAUCUUCUUUAGGGUAUAAUCUUGAGUCAUUUGUAGUAGAUGAAAAAUAUAUCAAAUAUAUGGAGUUUCUUUUUGUAUAUUAUAUAGAUGAUCUGAUCCAUAAGGAUUAUGAUUGAGAAUUGUUUGAUCGUCUUUCUCCGAGGAAGAGACGAAACAUAAUCAACUUGAAUUCAAGAUAGCUAUUCAAAAUCUUAGUGAAAUACUAAAUUUGUUAUCUCAUCUGUUUCGUGAAAAAAAAUACCAAUUGAAGUGGAGAGUUUCUUCAAAUAACAAGGAGUUGGGUUAACUAUUCAAUCAAAUGAUAUUGAGCAUGUUUCUCACCUCUUCUCAAGAGAAAAGUGGGUUAUUUCUUUGCAAAAUUAUGCUCAAUUUCAUAUGUGACAAUUCUACCAAGAUCUUUUCAUUAAUUGGGGGAAAAAUCCACACGAAUCGGAUUUUUUGAAGAAGGUAUUGAGAGAGAAUUGAAUUUGGUUAGAUAAUGUGUGAUUGGUAAAUAAGGAGUGGUAUUUUAGCAAGGUACAAAAUAGUCAAAUAUUCAAUAUAUGAAAGUACAAAAUUUAACUCGUGGCAUCUUUGGAGAUGCAUCACGAUGGUCCAUAACAAUAGCGAAUAUCAGUAUAGAAGUUAAAACCACCGCAAUGCACAGGAAUAUCAUAAUUUAUAGAUUUGAGAGACAGUAUUGAAAAACUUGAAACCCCUGCAGGAGCCACGUGACAUUGUACGACACCCUAAACUAUUCCAAUUUCCACUUCAUAAAAAUAAGAAGAGAGAGAGAGAGAAAAGUACACAAACACCCACAACCGGCGCCCACGCCCGACGCCCGUGACAUCUUCAACUACAGAACAAAACUCACCAACCAGACCCCAACUCACUCCUUUUUCGACAAGUCAAGGCAAAAUACCUAUCACAACACCGACAUCUAAUCAAAUGGGCUAAGUGGGUCAGGUGCACAGUUCACGGGCGACGCCCAGCCUUGAAUUGGGGACAUCGUAGAGGAGCCUGUGGUUCUGCUGCUGCAAGUUGGCAAUGACGUUCAGCACCGAGUUCACGUUGUCAGGGGCGGCUGCCAUGGCCAGGCAGGUCGUGCUGCCGGCGGUGCUGUGAAUCAGCAGGUUAUCCGGUGGCAGCGUCACGUUCAUGCCCGUGAACAUGAAGGUUAUCGUGGGCGCUGCUAUGGGCACCGUGUAGCAUGUGUCGAAUCCCCCCAGUGACGUUACUGUCAAGUUCCUCCCCACCCUGUUUCUGAACGCGUCUCUCACUGCUAUGUACGCCGGCGUUACGAGCCUCGUGAACACCGUCCCUGGUUCACAACCCUCUUUGUAAUUAUACUUCCAUUCGUUUACAAAACUAAAUCAUUCCUUAAUUCCCUUUCUUCAGUUAUAAUUCAAAAUUUUCAAUUUUAAAUGAAAAUGAUAAGUUCACUAUAGUUAAUUUCUUCGAAUUGUUUUCCGACGGAUAUCACAAAAUAUCAUAUUUAUCGACCGAUAUUAUAUCCGAAAAAGCAAUUCGAUAAAUCUAACUAAAGUACUCGGCAUUACUCACUAUUAAAAUAAAAUGUUUAAAUUUUAAACCAUUAAUUAUGUUAAUUUUUUUUAUCACUUCAUGUGAUAGGUGAUUGUUAAAGGUCUUUUAAUGAUUACCUAUCACAUCAAUGAGAUAUAGAAUAUGAUAAAGUAUGGCAAUAAUGUUAAUAAGUAUUAACAUUAAUACCUAUAUUGUAUAUGCAGUAGUGUUUACAAUUUUUUUAAGUAUGGAGGAAAAUUAACUAGAGAAAUAAAGAUUUUGUGAAUAGAAAAGGUUACCGGAGUCAAAGAUGGUGCCGGCACCGGUGGAGGGGUUGAAGGUGAAGGAGCCUGGAGGGACGUCCACAACUCUCCGGCCGACCCUAACUGCCAUAAGGUUGACAAAGUAAAGUGAUGGUCUUCUAGGGUUCUUGAGCAAUGGGGUGUACUUGAUCCUCUUGGGCUGCCCAACUGGGCCCAACCUCAGCGACCCAGAGAAGUUGAGGGACUUGAAGCUAGGCAAGCAGUAGGAGAAUGUGGAUUGGUAUAGGUUUUGGGUCUGGGACAGCAACGACAAGGGGCCUCGGCCCAGGCCCAGGAGGCCCUGCGCCGGUAGGGAUCCGCCGGUGGCCUUUUGUAUGCAACCGAAGCUGUAGCCGGGGACUGCAUCGGUGGCUAGGGUGAUGGUGUCCUGUGAGAGGUUGGCUGCUAAGGAGGAGCCACCAUAGGUGAGGUUGAAUGAGCACACCCCCCCACCGCAUGUGGGUUUUGGCACCUGAAAUUACGCGAAGAUCAUAGAAGUUAAAAAGUCUUUUUUUAUAUAAAGGCCCUGGUGACAUGUCAAGAAAAAAACAAAGGAAACAACACUCGGAGAUGUGAGUAAUGGUGAGAGUAAAUGCAGUACCUGCUUACACUGAGCAGCUUGGCAGCCAAGGGACUUGUAGGUAGUAGAGGCAGGAGAGUUAAAGAGAGUGGAGGAGCAGCCCAGACAGCCAUUGCAAGGAAUCCAAGCAACAUCACUGCUGGUGUCCAUGGCCAUGAGCAUGGUUUGAGCAGGAGUUCCAAUCUUAGCCCUCACAAUAUAAGUUGGGUUCUGGACGAUCUGCCUGCCUGAAGCAAUAGGCACUACAGAUUUGCGGGCGACAAGGCUAGAUAAAAACUGGAGCCUGGCCUUGUCCUUGGCCUGCAUUUGGAGCACACUCUCCUCCCAGGACAGUGGCUCUUUUGGCCUGAAUGGAGAGCAAGGGCUGUAGACAUGGAGGACUUGGAGGGUGGAGCCUUGGUCAGGGGUCUCACAGUUGGGCUGGGUGAGUCCAAGUGCCAGGGAGAGGAAGAGGAGGGUAAGGCAGAGUAGAGGAAACAGAGAAGGGAAAGAGAG
rnacentral:lncRNA from 1 species